rnacentral:lncRNA from 1 species
GAAAAGUAAUCACUAAAAUCUAUUAGUUAGUAAGUAUUUAUAGGGAGAGGGAGAGAGAGAGAGAGAGAAGGGCGCCAUAAAAUGUGCAAUAUGACAUGUAACUCUUGUAUAUGAGCAAAAACUCAGCACUGUAUGCAGUAUAUGAUCAUAACCAUUUACAAGAAAUCAAAGGUCAACAAUCCACCACUAUACUAAGCAUACCUCAUGCAAUAAGAUAUUUUACUCUUAUCUACCUGGUAGAGUUCUAAACAUAUGAGACUUUUGUUCAAAGGUAAACUAAGACCCUAUCUCGAUUGUCUCUAGAACUUCAGGUCAAUCAUUAAUUGCUAACUGCAUCAAACCAAUAACAUGUGAUAAAAGAAUUUUCAAUUUCAUAGUCCAAGAAAAGGCUAUUAUAGAUGAGUCAAUGAAACAAAUAAGUUAAUUUUAGGUGGAUAAGGUUCAGAGAAAUAUAUAUAUAUAUAUAUAUAUACAGUCCGUCUCUGCUACGGACGUCCGGACCGUUUUACGGUGCGGACAUCCACACCUGAGAAAAGUCCUAUAUACAUAUAUAUAUAUAUAUAUAUCUCAGUGAUCAAACUGAUCAUCUAAUGUCAAACAACAGCUAGUUCACAGCGUUAUGGUUUUUUACGUCCUAAAUUUGUCUAAAACACAAUUUUAUUGUCUAUGCAUAUAAAAUAAUAAUUAAACAAAGCCAAUUGAUCCCAAGUCCCUCAAAAAGAACACACAUCAAAGAAAAAGGAUAUUUGGAAGGAAAAUAUGAAGGCAUGAUUAGGUACUAUAGAAGCAUUCAGAUAUAGAUCCAUUAUGAACAUCUGCUGCUGUUUAACAGAGGCACAACUUGGAACAAUAUUAAUUGCCAACUACUUGAAGUUUGAGAAGUGUUCAUGUUAAAGCUAAAACUAAGGGCAGAAAUUAGAAUGCUGAUGUGCUGUAUGAACCAAGUUCAGUGCAUGCAGUAGACAUACAGACGAGGACUACCUGACUAAGAAGUUUAGGCUUGUCGACUGUUGAAAAAGUGAUCUCAUGCAUAGGCCUGGACCAAUUACCAAAAAAAUAAGUAAAAAUAUUAACAUUUUUAUGGUAGUAAAUGACCAAUACUGUUUUUGCUCAUGGUAAACAGUAAAAAACCUCAAACUCAUUGCCCUACAAAACUUAUUACCAAAGAUUGGCCUAAAUUCGAAUCUUACCUAGUAACAUAGGGUGUUGCGCUCAUUGCACUGUCUCCAUCAUCAACAUGGGAUCUAUUGGCUAGAAGUGAAAGUGCCUCAAGAUUAGGAGAUGAACCAAAGGUAGGCGGUGCAUGAAUCCUGCUGACACCACAGUUCAAUGACUAUCACAUAAAAAAUAAAAAAAUAAAAAGAAAACUGACAGAGAAGGCAUUUAAUUACAAAAGAAGUAUAGCCUGGUAUCUGAUAUGGUUAGCCAUACCCUUGUCUAUUAUGAUUAUAAGAACUCUGUGCAUCUUCUUUCAUUGAAGAAUCUGAAUGAACCGAAUCGCCAGCAUUCCCAUUGUACAUGGGAUAAACCUGCAUCGAAGAAAAUCCACUCAGUAAUAAGAACUUCUCCGCCCCUGCUUCAGAUAAUAGCGUUAAUACUUAAACUUCAAGACUUCAAAUGCAAUACAUGUAAAAUGGGUGUAACAAGAAAAGAACACUGACUGGAGUCAAAUCAAAAAUACAUGCAACAUGCAUACUGGUACACACGCACACAAAUCGUGUUCAUUAAGCUCAACAAGAGUAAAUCAUAGUAACCAAUAACCGCAUGUGUGGUCACCUGCACCGUGCGAACUUCAAAGGCAGGUUGGUUAGCAGGGUCUUCGGCUAAUUGCAGCAAUCUCUUAUGUGUAAGCACAUCCUCUGCCCUCUCCACAUUCACAUCCAAUGCGUAUCUACAUAGCACAACACCAACCAUCACCACAACAAACAAACAAACAAACACACACAAUUCUUCAAAGCUUCGGCCUUCAAUUUCCACAACUAUGAGUUAAAAUGUAUAGAUACCAUUACUCAUAGGCUCAUAGCUUAUAGUUAGAACAAAUAUCAAAACGAUGACCGAAUCCGAUUUCUUUUUCCCUAAACACAUUCACUACCAGACAAUUAGCAACCUUUAAACAAUCAUUAGUAACAUUAAAUCGCUACAGUCUUCUCCACAACAAAACAAACAAUGCGAAAACGCAAAAAGCCAAAAGCUAAUGAAUGAACCAUACGAAUCAAAACAGAGAAAAGGCUAGGGUUUAAUACCGAGCAGGUAAGCGGUUGAAAUGGAGCCAAAGCUGAUCAUCAAAUCCAGGAAGACUGGCCUCCUCGUAAUUGAAGUCCUGAAUUCUACGCAGCACCUCGUUGUAGACCUUGAGCUUCUGGCGCUGGUGGCGCGGCUGCGCCUGCGCCUGCGACGAGAACGCAGCGUCUCUGCUGCCGCAGCUCUCCAAGUCCUCGUCGAUCGCCAUUUUGGAGCUUAAAAAAAGUGAAUCUGGCUCUGGAUUUGAAGGAGAAUAUGCGGCGCGGAAUAACGAGAUUGGAGAAAUUUGAGAAGAAGAAGAAGAAGUGAAAAUUGAGGAGGAGGAGAAAGAGAGAUUCUUUCUUGCUUUCUUUCUUUUUGUGCUGUGCCUGUGAUGAUGACGACCUUUGUUUCGUUGCUUUAGGCCACGGGUCCACUGCAUGCUGACUCAUCUGGAUUAUCGCACUCAACAGUGUGGCCGGUGGGGAAUAUUUAAUUUGUUUUCGUUAAGCGUGGUUAAUUUGGCUUGAAACGUAAUUAUUGGCAAGAAAUGGCCUAUUAGCUCAGCUGGUUAGAGCGUCGUGCUAAUAACGCGAAGGUCGCAGGUUCGAGACCUGCAUGGGCCACAUUAUUAGUUUAUUUUUCUAAAUUGUCUCUUUGAGAUUUGAUAUUAGUUUGUUUUUCUAAAUUGUCUUUGAGAUUUGAUUUCUAAAUUGUCUUUGAGUUUUGAUUAGGUUUUGGUUUUUUGAAGUUUGUCAACCACCCUUAAGGGAUCUCUUCCUUUUCAGUAGAGAUAUUAUAUAUGAUGCAAUCCAAGUAGGCUAUGUAUGGAAUAAAAGCAGCAAAUUGACGACGUUUCUAUUUCUUAUAUAUUGUUAAGGGCUAGAAGGAAAAUGGUAGUUUGCUUAUGGGAUCGACGACCUUAAUUGAAUAUUGUUUGUGUUGGAUAGACUUUGAAAAUUUCAAGCAUGUAAACCAAAAAAAAUAUUGACAUUUCUAGCGUGCGUUUUCUUUUUAAUCAUAUAAUUAUAUGUUAGAGCAUUGGUUGAGAUAAUGUGAAAAGGCAAAGUGAAUCGUGCUAAAUGUGGCACGCUAGAGCUAUUCAAAGACAAUUAAGCACUUUUAAAAGUAUUUACAACACCUACAAAUUAAGAUCAAAAUAGCAACCACACUGCAGCAUGCAUCACCUUCUCGUAUUAGGUUGUUGCUUCAUUAGAGAUAAUGGCAAUAUAUUAUGAUCACUAAUAGUUUAAACUUUUGAGUCAUCUCUCAUAUUACAGACAUUUUCAUCAAAUCUUUUGGUGGGUCAUUCCAUUGUAUUAUUGAUAUUUUAAGCACUAUUAUAAGAUGCAAUCAAUUAUAUAUGUUCCUAAUUAAGUACAUUGUAUUAUUAUUUAUUUAUUUUUGGAUUGUAUUAAUUGAUUGAAAGUUGAACCAUGCACCAGAUAUAUAUGAAGGAAGAAAAGCUGUUAUUGCCAUCUAUAUAUAUGGUGGGAUGUCCCCUCUAAUGUCCUCCCAUAGAUUCUCUGUUAUAGAUCUUGAAUAUAGUUUCGUCUGUAUUUAUCCAAAACAAAAUUUUAAACAUUAUCAACAUCACCAUCGCUAAUGAUCAUUAUCAAAUGACCAAGAAUUUUGAGUCUCUAUUUGUAAAACCUUAUUUUUAGUUUUGGAUAAAUGGGAUUCGACGACCUUAUCCAACAUUUCGAGAAAAUAGACACCCAUUUAGUCACUAAAACGGUUAUUUAGUAAAACGUUUAUCUACAGAUUGUAGUAAACAAAUUUCACUCUACCAACUUUGUGCUUUUGUUCUUUUAUUUGGCUUGUCUAAAACUCCCACCAACUCAUUAUAUGAUUGAUGCAAUGCAAGAGGUUUCACACACAUAGACAACUCACAAUUUGUCCAGCUAUAUUAUAUGAUAUCUGAGGUUUCCUUGUUAUAAAAGAAAUUAAACUCCGAGCAAAAUUCCUUUCCCAUUUCGAAAUGUUACAAAACGAGAUUGAGUACAUUUGAACCACUUGAAGAGCACAAAACGUGGACGACAAAACCGCAUGAAUGCUCUCGAUCCCAUCACAGCCGUCGAUCAUUACACCAAACCCUCCUUAGCAUCUAAGAAAAAGAAAUCAAACCUGAUCCAGUUUGGCCAUUCAUGGAAGCAAAUUAACAACACAGCAGAGAGAAGAAGAAGACGACGAAGACAGAUAUCGAGUCAGAAAGAAAAGGACACGUGGUUGACAUGAACAGGAAGAGCACCAGGGAUUUGCUUCUGGGUUUAUAUAAGGGGAAUCUGUGCUGGGACUUCUGUGUUUAGGAUUUUAGGGCUGGUAGGUUUCGUUUCGAUUCAUUUUGGUUUUUAUCUGUGUAAUAUAUAUCUUUUCCUCUUUCUGGGUUUUCAUUUCUGGUUUCAGAUUUGAUUUUAGGGUUUGUAAAUGGGUCAAUGCACGUCGAAGCAGCGUGGAGGAGGAGGAGGAGGGCUAGAUGGUAAUUGUGGUGGGUGUGUUGAGACGACUAGGCGUGGAUGCAUGAGCAUUGUGAGGGAGAAGAGAUCCAGGUUCUAUAUUGUUAGGAAAUGUAUAGUUAUGCUUCUCUGUUGGCACAAGUAUGGCAAAUAUUAAUGAAAUUCUUCAUUCAUUUUCUGGUCGAUUCGAUCAUCAUCUUCUUCUUCUUUUCUCUCUUGAUUGGUUCUUACUGUUCUCAUGGAUGAUUGGUUUUUGGUUUCAAGGAUGAUCGAUCACACGGUAAUUCAGGUUGAUGUAAAGUUUAGAUGCGUUAGGUACCCUGACUAACUAUGCAGAAUUGGAUAUGAAUUUCUCAAGUUUUUGUUGUUAGGGAUCCAGUGGAUGCCAGAAGUGCAUGUUUGACCGCAGAUAGUUCACCCAAACACAAACGCAGUUUUUCAAGCAUUAAUUUUUGCUUUUAUUUUUAGAUGUAUUAUGCAUUCCAGGGUUUACAAGUUCAUCAUUUUUUACUGUCUAACAUAUGAUGAUCGAGGAUACUUCAAAAACAGGAGAAAUUUCGCAAUCAUGAAUAAUUUUGAGUGAUUAGAGUCUUAGAGCUGAUGUGAUUAACAUGCUCUCCCAACAUUAGGAGGAUUCUAAUGACAUGAUCUAAGGCACUUUUCUACUGAAUCUAGUGUGUUUAAUCUUGUCAUUCUUAUCCUAAGCAAGUAAAUCUGUGAACAGCGUGACCUUUAUUUUUUGAAACUUUUGUAGUUCUAAAAGCAAUGUGUCAUUAUAAUUACUAAAUUACAGCAAUUUAGAUAAUAUUAUGAGAAGAUAUAUAUGUUCCCGAUAGCAAUAUGUGGCACUGUAUAGCUUCUUAGAGCAUCUUCAACAGUUUCUCUAUAAUUUCUUUAUUAUGAGGAAGCAAAAAUCAGAGCUUCAAGCAAUUUUUUCUUUAACUCCAACAAAUUCCCUAUUUUAUAUAAUCUCCGUCAAGCCAAAUAUUGGAUCAAAGAAGUGGCAUGGUCUCUUUAAAUUUAUCAAAGAUGCAGCACACUCUUUUAUUGUCAUUCAGACAAAUUUUUCUCUCUUAUAUUGUUCUAGAAAUAGAAUAAGAGUUCUAUCUACGGUGUUGAAUCUCGAGUGCAUCCAAUAGGGGUUACUAUCUCUAUGUCUGUCCAAGAAGAAUAUACAAUAUUGGCAUUGCUUUGCCCGACUCCAGCUAAUCAGACACUCACAAAACUAAUCGAAAGCAAGAGGGAUCGAUAUGAGUAUUCAUGUACGUAUAUGGUUAAAAUACUUACCCAAUGAAUGAUAGAGUAUUGUGUUCGUGUGUGUUCUUCAAUUUUGUUUCGUUUUUUUAAACAAUGUUUGCCAAUUCUCACUUGUAUAUAUGUCGCUGUAAGCAUUCCACACAUAUAUUCCUCUUGUUGGAUUCAUUUGAUAGAGCUAAUGAAUUUGGGAAUUCACACACACACACACAGUAUCAAAUUUGGAGGUUUUUGAAGAAAGGAUGCACAAAACGCGCGAUGUUACAUUGUUUUGAAGUCGAACGAUGUUCCUUUGUUUUUAUUCAUCAAGAGUGAACAUUGUUGUUCGUUUUGACAAUAUGAGAUGAAAGGACUCAAACUUGAGUUUCAUAUUUUAGGUCGCCUUCGAGUAUGAUUCCCUCGCUCAUUUCCUUGUUAGAGACAAUAUGUACUGUACGUCUGAUCAUUAUUUAGUUUCCAGUAGUACCUUCGUUUCAUUUUGAUGUAUAUCCAACAUAUAUAAUAUAACUUGUAUAUAUAGUUUUGAAGGGAUACCUAAACGAUGCAUGAAUCCAAUUUUUUAAAAAAAUGAUAUGAGCAUGCAGAGAUUGAGGUUCACCUUGCUUUGUGUAUGAAAGUGUAUCAACUCUUUAUUUGAUGAACAAAUCACUGUUACAGUGGUUAUGAUAUAUGAACACAUCUUCAUCAGACUACAUCUCAUUUUUAUUUGGCCUACGAGUGAAUGAAAGGACAGAAACCGAACAAAACCAACCAACUAAUCCAUGGAAUCGAUAAUUUGCAUCCAAGUUAACCUUUAGAAUCUGUCCAAAAUGGUACAUGUUCACUGCUUUAAAAAAUUUCAAAAUGAAUCUCAACAAUUAGCCAGCAAAGAAUGUUGAUAUAGUACAACAAAGCUUGGAGGUGAAAUCAAAGUGCAACUCCAAAGAUCAUGACAUUAUAAAUUGCUGUUCCUGAUAAGCUAUUCCAAAACUUUCCCCAAGUUAUCUCCUUUCUUUUCAAUCUCAAUGAAUUACACCAAUAACCUACUAUCUUCUCUCCCAACAAAUUUUAAUCAAGACGAUGCGACACCAUUAUGGUUCAACAAGGCAGACAAUGCAUGGCAACUCACAGCAACCACCAUGGUAGGCAUGCAAAGUGUUCCGGGGCUCGUCAUACUCUAUGGAUCCAUGGUCAAGAAGAAAUGGGCCGUGAACUCCGCAUUCAUGGCCCUAUACGCCUUUGCGGCGGUGCUCUUGUGUUGGGUACUUUGGGCUCAUAACAUGUCAUUUGGUACCAAGCUCACCCCAUUUGUGGGAAGGCCUGGUUUUGCUAUGACACCUAGUAUCCUGAACCAAUAUGAAGGCUAUUUUGUUCCAAAGGCUGACUAUGUGUACUUCCAAUUUGUAUUUGCUGCCAUUACUGUGAUAUUGCUUGCUGGGUCUUUGCUUGGGAGGAUGAACUUCUAUGCUUGGAUGUUGUUUGUACCAAUGUGGCUCACAUUUUCUUACUCAGUUGGGGCUUUUAGUAUUUGGGCAAGUCAAGGGUUUCUUGAGAAACACAUUAUUGAUUAUGCUGGUGGAUUUGUGAUUCAUCUUUCUUCUGGUGUGGCUGGUUUUAUUGCUGCUUAUUGGGUAAUUCACAUGAAUUGAUGAACACCAAACACCAUUUUGUGCUUAAUGUUUCUUUCUUUGGAAAUAUUCUCUUGUCAAGCAAUCUAGCAGUAUAAGAUGCUUAUAUUCACCUGUCAAGUUUCAUUUUUCUGAGUAACUUGGUGAUGGUUAUGUAGGUAGGACCAAGGCAAGCGCAUGACAGGCAACACUUUCCACCAAACAACAUAAUUCACAUGUUGGGAGGUGCAGGGUUUCUAUGGCUUGGUUGGACUGGCUUCAAUGGUGGCUCUCCAUUUGCUGCAAAUGAGAUUGCAUCUUUGGCCAUCCUCAACACCCAUGUCUGCACUGCUACCAGCCUUUUGAUUUGGGUCUCCCUUGACAUGAUUGUGUACAAGAAAAGCUCUGUGAUUGGCGCGGUGCAGGGAAUGAUCACUGGCCUUGUCUGCAUCACCCCUGGUGCAGGUAUAUAUAAUCCUCGAUAUGUUUAUGUUGUUAGACUGUAAAUUCGAACACAUAAUAAUUAAGCCUUAUGUUUGGAAAUGUGAGGCGAUACUGAUAAUAUAUUAAAGAGCAUGUUCACUCUAUGAGAUAACAAAAUAUAAAUCUUCUAAAUUGGUGUUUUGAUGAUUUAAGAAAGUAAAACAAGCAAUUUUGCAGCAUCCCACCAAAUAAUAUAUACAUGAUCAACCAGGGAUUGUGGAGCCAUGGGCAGCCGUAUUAAUGGGAGCAUCGUCUGGUUCAAUACCUUGGUACACCAUGAUGGUAUUGCAUAAAAAAUCACCGUUCUUCCAAAGUGUAGAUGACACACUGGGAGUCUUCCACACUCACGCCGUGGCCGGUGUCUUGGGGGGACUGCUCUCAGGCAUCUUUGCAAAACCAAAUCUUCUGAGAAUGAUGUACAGAAGUAGCCUUUAUGGUCCCGGCUUAUUGUACUGCAUACUUGAUGGGAAUCUACAUAAUGGCCUCAGACAAAUGUGGUACCAGAUCCUUGGAGCUCUUUUUAUCAUUGUAUGGAAUGUUGGUGCGACCAGCGUGAUCUGUUACUCAAUCAGCAAAAUCGUUGAUCUGAGGAUGAAGGAAGAAGAUCUUGACAUUGGUGAUGAUGCAGUGCACGGAGAAGAAGCCUACGCUCUUUGGGGUGAUGGUGAGAAGACGCCAGCGACGAUCAGGAGGCAUUUAAGGAUUCCUUCCAUCUGUAGAUGGCAGAAAUGAAGUUGGAAAUGGAGAAUUAUUAAGUCGAAACGAAUGAAAGAAAGCAUGCAACAACUCUCGUUGCUAGCUUGCUUGCUAUUAGUAAAUGACUAAAUGUUCUUCAUAUUGGUGAAGAAUAUAGCUCCUGGGAUCAUUUUGUACACAAUGAUGAAGUCCUUGGAUCAUAGAAUACAUGAUAUGUAAUUUUACGUCAUUCAAGAUACUGUAGUGGUUAGCAAUUGAGUUUUCCCAAACAUCUUACACUGACCUUGAGAUCAUAGGCCACAGCUGUAGUUGUCAAGGAUUCAUACAAGCACAGCUUUAGAAGGGUAAAGAAUGCAAAUAUCAGUACUAGCAGCCUUGCGUAAGUGUAAGAAAUAUCAAAGAAAUAGCAAUACAAUUAGGCAACACAAAUCAUUCUUUCUUCUCAUUCAACAUUUUGCUAAGAUUUACAAACUGUGAUCAUUCACUCUUUCUUCGUAAUAUGUGAUCAUACAUGUAGAUACUUGGGGGGCUAUAUACUAUGAAACUGUACAUCAAUAUCUUAGAAGUUCCUGCAUUUUCCAAAGAUUAACAAAGGUGGUCCACAUACACUAAACUGAAAUGCUACGCCAAAAGUCUAGAAGGCGAGAAGGUGCAAUAAGAACUCUCCCCUAGCAGUACAUCCUCGUGUGAAUGCAUGAAAGCAGCAACUUAUUAGAAGCAGAUUAACUUUGAUGCCCUUGACUUAACUUGCGAAGUUUGACUAGUUCAUCUCUCCACAUGGCUGCAGGAACCAGCAUUUAACUUGUAAAUUUAAAUAUAAAAGAAUGUUGUAAUCUGAAGCAAAUUUAUGAGGGAACGAGUGACCUGACUUGUAGUUGCAUCUACAAAAUUAGACAAUUACGAAAAGUAAUGCCUCAACCUAAUAAAGUACCUGCAUCCUUAUAUCUUUCCUCUUUGAUAGCCAAGUCGAUAUUCUUCACCAAAACAAGUUCUUGAGCUAAUAAAUUGGGACCAUCUGCAGCACUGCAAAGAAUAACUAAUGAUUAGCACAAGGGAGAAACUGAUGAACCAAAACUGAGGCACCCCAAAUACCAAUUCAGUACCUAUCAAGAGAGACAUCGUAAGUAGGCUUCAUCUCACGCAUUCUGCCCAUCCCAUAACUGAUUCUUACAGCAUCUCUUACAACAAUCUGUUUAUUUACAUAUAUGGGUGCCUGCAGAUAGUAAAUGUCACUCAAAAUCAAGAGCAGUUCAAAUAAACAUUCUUUCAUAUACCAUAACGUUAAAUCUAGUGAGUUUUAAGAAAGCAGGGAAGUCAGUUUCUUGCUUACACAUAAGAAAGCAAGAACAUGCAUGGACAUAAGUUUAUGAGCAACUCGUGUUGAGAAGGUGAGAAAGACACACGUACCUUGCACCUGUAUGCAACAUUUAUGGCAUCUGAUGGACGGGCAUCCACACUAAGAAUGUCACUUUUGCCUGGCUGCAAAUAAUUGGAACCUCAUAGUCAUAAAUUUGCUUCAGUUUCUUAAAAAGAAAAAAAAACAAGACAUAACUCAUGGAUUUAAUCACCUUACUAAAAUACAAUCUGGCAAAGUAAGUAUGCAGCACUCUUUCUGUAAUUCUCACCAUAUUCACCUGCAAUUGAAGAAAGGGAAAAAAGAAUAAGAGAAGAAUCUAACACUCCACUUAGACAUAGGAUUUGCAUUUGACAACAAGCCUUGCUUUGUUAAAGAAAAAACUACAAAGUAUAAACAUUAAGGGUGACUAGACAUUUGAUCUUUUGAAAUUCAUUAUUUUUUUUCUUCUUCUAAUUCAAAACUUCAUAUAUAUACAUAGCAAAAGUGUCAAGAAAUAUUUAAUCUCAAGUCGUUAACCAAGUUUUUAUAUUGGAAUUACUCCAUCCAAAAUCCAAGUAGGCCUGCUUUGCUUACACCCCACUCUCAUAUUGAGAAGUUAAUUCAGUACAAUUAAGAAGCAAUGCUACCCAUUUGGGACUGAAACUUGUUGACUGCCUUCCUAAGAAAAAUAAUACCAUAAACUUCUCUUAAUAUUGUUAUUAGUACUCAAUUACUCAUAUUGUCAUCCACCAAGUAUAAACAAAUAGCUUAACCAUAAAAUUUCUAAUACCAAUAACUAUCAAAAUGUACUAAAUGAAAAGAAAAUUUAGCUACAUUACUUGAUGGUCAAGUUCUUCAACAAGACUUUUCACAAACUGAAACUGGUCCGGGGAAUCCUGCAGCAAGACAAAUAAUCAGAUCAACACACAUUCCACUAAAAGUUAGGCAAAUGUAGCUACAAAGCUUAGACAGUUACCCCAUUCUCAUCUCCCCAGUGGCCAUUAAUGAGAUUCUCUAUCGCAAGUUCGCCUGAAAAAUUCAUAUAAAUACAAUCAACAACUAAGACGAUGUGACAGUUCAUAUAUUGUACUUUUAUGUUUAUCCCCAAAUUCCAUUAUACCUACAACAAUUGGAAGCAAAAAGUCUCCGUCACACGAUAUCUUGAGGAAAAUAGUAGGACUUUGGAAUCGCUGGAGGAAGUUCCUGCCUAGUUUAUCCAAAACACUCCGGGGCCGGGUUGCUUGCACCGAAAACGGCCGCAGUUUUCUGGAGGUAUUCCAAUUCGUCUCUUCUUGAAACCCUCGUUUUUGCAUUCGGUAGUGAGAUAUAGUUUCUGCACUAAUCAAACACAACUAAACAACUUCAGAAAUCAAAUCCUAAUUCACUCCAUCACCAAAUUAAACUCACUUUUACACUAACAAAUCUUCGAAAAGUUGAAUCAAAAUAACUAAAAUAUAGUGAAUACAUUUCCGAAUUUGAGCUUUUGUUAAAUGUGAGAAACUGUGGACCUGAAAGCAGGAGGGAAGCUUGAAUGUACUCGUAAUCUUGCUGAUUAGUGGAUCGGUCGCGAGAGGAGGAGUCGCAGGUAAUGCGGAUCGAUUUGAGUCCACGGUGGCGGCGUUUGGCUCGGAAACCUAACCGGAAGACGACGGAAUCUAAGGUGUGAGAGGAAGAGGAAGAAGAAGAGGAAAGCGCUGGGCGAGUAUUUGGGAUCGGGAAAGCGGCAUUCGAGCGAUCGGCGACGGAGAAUUGAGCAGCUCCGAGCAUCAUCAAAACAGGUGAGAGAGAGAGAGAGAGAGAGAGAGAGAGAGAUGGAGGAAAUGGAAGAGAGUUAGUUGGGGUUUGUUCAAUCAGAUGGCGCUUUCCAUUUUAUGGGGCUUCGAGUUUAUCAAUUUGAUAAAGAUAUAUGCCAUGCUUUGCUUGCUUCUUUUGUCCGUCCCCCUGUUAUUAGAAAUAAUUAAGAUUGUUAAUUAACUUAUUAUGAUAAUAUUAUGACGUUUUAAGAGUUAAACACUCUUUGUUCUAAUCCACUUCGAAAGCUCCCCCCUCUCUUUUGAAACUUGAAACCAUGUUGAUUGUGUUUUUCAUGUUGAUAUAUUAGUAAUUUAGUAAACAUUCUCUUUGAUCUGGUUGCUUUAAUAUGAUGAUUGUUUAACUUAUCUUGUAAUAGUAGUAUAAUUGAGUCGUUUACUCGGGUAGGUGCAUCCAAGUAAAAAAACAAGAGUGAAAUUUGCACACAUUUAAUUACAGUCCACACACCUGAUCGAUUUUACCUGUGUAAUCGUCAAAAUGUUCAUAUCUUAAACAACUUAGAAAAAACAUGGACAUUUUUUAUAUUUCUACGGACACGUGGAUUGUACGGCCGUGUGGAUUGUAAUCGAAGGUGUGCAAAAGAUAACUAAAAUAGAAACUUGCUAGCAUUUCUCAUCGAGCUAUAUGGUUCAAACUUGCAGUCUUUUGAACUUGUGCUUGAUGAAGUAAUGAGUUGAGAUUUUGUGAUAAUGGAAAUGGUGACUUGGUCAUGAGAUUUUCCCACUUUGAAAAAGACGACUAAUUGCAUUUCUUAAGUCAAUGAUUUCAUAAUUACAAAGAAUUACAAGUACCAAAGUCCUUGACUUUGAGAUUGGGGAUCCUAUUUGUGGUUGGCACUUGGCAGUUGUAUCUGCAUCCGCUGAGAUUUUCAACUAAGAGCUAUCGAAGAUCAAACCAUGGCUUGCGCCCCUCAAACCAAUUUGGGUGGCUGAAGCACUGUAGAGGUGAGUUAUUCAUUAGCGAGUUUUGGGAAGAAGCUUCAACACCUUUAUUAGCUCGUAAGUCCUUGUGUCUCGGCCAGAAUAGAGGCAAAGCUCAAGCGGGGUUAAUCCGUCCUGCAACAAUUAGUUAAGUAGCAAUCAAUCAUCAUAGCAUUAGCAAUGUCACAGAACAUCAAAGCAAUGAGAAGCUCAAUACAGCUUUAGACUCAUACAGCAACAAUGCUGCUUCAUACUUUUCAACCAUUCAAGCUGUGCAGAGUGCAGAACAAGCUAACGGAAGCAGUAAAUAGUUACCUUGUUUUUCAAUGUCUUAUCCGCGCCUUUAAUCAACAAAAGCCUCACUACAUCUACUCUUCGGCCUUGAACAGCUAGAUGUAACGGUGUCCACCCAUCCUAUGAAGUCCAAACAAAAGCCUAUGACUCCUUGAAAUUGCAUAGAAAAUUUGUAAUCAGGAAUGGGAAAGCAAUAAUCCAUACAUUGUCCUGAAGGUUUAUGUCAACAUUGUAUAACAAAAGAAUCUUAAUUGCUUGACUUGAAGCUGUUCGGACAGCAUAGUGCAUCAAGGUGGCCCCAUCCUGCAUCCAACAUAAAACUUGUAUUAGAACAAGGGCUUGUACAAUACCCGUUCAAUAGAUAAGCCAGCAUAAACUUUACUCACCUUAUCACGAACAAAUGGAUUAGCCGAUUCUCUAAGAAGAUAGUUUGUAAUGGCCUGGUUUUUACCGAUAAUUGCUUUGUGAAGAACAGUCCAAUCAUUCUGAAAAAUAAUAAAUCCGGCUCAAUCAUGAAUGAAAAGGCAAGAAAAUCUUCAGCAGUUAACAAUCCAAUGGAACAUGUCGUCAUCUAUGUACCUUAUCCACAGCAUUGAUAUCAGCUUCAUGUCUCAAUAAAGCGUCCAUAAGGUAAAAUUCUCCUGAUGCUGCAAGAGUAUGAAGGGGCAGCCAUUUACUCUGGAAAGAGAUCAUCAAAUUAGAAAUACAAACAUAUGCAGUCUCCCUGCAGAUUAAGAUAGCUGUACAAUAACUGAAGCUUUCUACUCAAAAACUCUAUCCAGGAAGACAGUAAGCAUCAUCUACCAAUCAAUUCAUAGACUCAUCAUCACGCAUGGAACAAUUUCUCCAAAGACGAAAAAUGGAAACAAUCCAUGCAUAAUCCCAUCAUUCACCUAUUAAUGAUCAUAACAGACAUAACACUUACAGAAGUGGCAGCAGCCAUAUCGGGUUUCCGCCUAUUCAUCAUCAGCUUCUCCUCUUUCGUAAACAAUGGCCGCGGUCCUAUUCAUCCAAUCCAACAAACAACAUAUCAGCAAUAUCACACACCACAUCCACCAAACAAAACCAAAAAACACCAAUCCAACCUCAACCUAUAAACCAUUAUCCACAUCCAAUAUUCACACAAAAAUUAUACUACAUUAUCACACAAUGCUAAACCCACAUUCACAAUGUACCUUCAGCUCUCUUGACACCAGGCUCAUAAUGCUCGCUGUUAAAAAACUCAGUAACAUCCUCCAACCCCUUCCCAUAAACCGCCCACCUCGGAUUCUUCGGCGCAACUCUCACACUCACAACCUCCUCACUCCCUCCCUCCUCCACCUCCUUAAACCUCUCCGGCCUCUCCAAAACCAGCGGCUUCAGCUGGUUCAACUUGGCCUCCCUAUACGCCUUGUACUCCUCCAAAUUCAAAUCCCUUAUCGGCUCCAACCCCCUCUUGUUCUUCGCCACUCUCGUUCCGAACUGCAUCUCCUGCGCAAUCUUCCUCCUCUCCUUCUUCGUUAUGUUCACCUCCGCCUGCACCUCCUUCCAUCCCUCCGGCACCAAAUUCUCCGUCUCAAUCUCGACCCGCUUUCUGGGUUUGGGCUUUUCCGGGUCGAACCGUUCGGGUUCGGGUUCUUGGAGAAACGGGUCGUCGAAUAUGCCUUCUUCGAAGACGACGCAAUCGCCGAUGACGUGGUCUUCUUCUUCAAGCUUGGUGGAGUAGGAAGAGUUGAAGGAGGGGGAGAGGGUGUGGAGUUUGGUUGAGAAUUUGAGAGAGGUGGGUGGUGAGAGCUUGUGGGGUUUGGAGGAGAGAGAAGGGUUUGGGAGGAGAGAGAAGAGUUGGGGGUUUAGAGCUGAAGAGACUGACAUGGUUCUUCUGCAACUGGCUCACAGCUGAAGCUGGAAAUGAAGAAGAAAGAGGUUUUUGUAUUUGGAUUGGGUCAUAUUGGUAGUUGGGCCAGGCCCGAUAUGCGUAUUUGGGCCUAUUAAAUCUGUCCAUUUCAAGAACACAUGAGUCUCACAUGGUAGAACACAGGCUUCAAUUUGUAACAAGGGAGACAAAAAUUUCAAUCCAAAGACUGAUAAUACUAUUAUACCAAGCUCAAUGCUUGAAAGUCAAGGACCAGAAAUCCUACCGAGUUUUAAUAGAAUGUAUGAGAAGAAAAUCCGACUCCAUAUCAUAGAUCAUUACAAGUCCGCAAAUAUGACUCCCAAGUUUUAACAUUACUCAAAUAGGAGAUACCUAAACCUAUGAGGUUAUAACCUUCAUCUACGGCUGUACUUCCUUUCUGGACUGCCAUAGGGUGAAUAAGACCUCUCCCUUCUUGAUCUUCCACCGCCAUAAGGAGAGCGCCUAGGGGAAUAAUCACGACUGCCUCUGUAGGGGGAGCGUCUAGGAGACCUCCUGUAUCCAUAGUCAUCUCGACCUGAGCCCCCCCGGUACCUCCCACGAUCACGGUCACGGUCACGGUCGCGGCCACGGUCUUCCACCAAUACAGAGAUAAAGUAUGAGAUACAGGCAAAUAAAUCAGAGAAAACUUGAUGUUGUCAUAGAAUUGAAAAGGCAUAUCAUACAUACCAGAGUCCCUAGUGUUCUUCAAUCCGAGAUAAUGCCCAGGUGUUGGAGUCCUUGGUCGCUUCCUCCGGGACUGAAAAUAAUCAAUCCUCAAGUCUUAAAACUCCAUUGCAACAAUGAACAAAAACAUAAAAAAGGAUUGCAAAGAAAAAUAAGAAAAUAUAGGAGAAAAAUAUUACACCAACAGAAAUAAGAUAGAAAAACAAAAACAAAAAAAAUUGAGUGAAAAUAUGUACUUAAAAACAAACACUGUUAUCUAGGCACAUAUAACUAGUGCCCAUAAUAUGAAUGCCAGUUAUAAAAUACCAUAGAGGCCUGACUAGAAAGUUGUUGGUAAUGUCCGUUGAUUAGUUGAGAUGAAAGUUGAAAGUGAAUGCUGAAGUUGUAUAGUUGUUGGAAUAUAGUUGCUAUGUUUAGUUGAUCAGGCGGAUUUCAAAAGCUGUUUAUGCUUGGCAUUGAUCAAGCUGUUUCACUAAAGUUGACAGGGAUAAACUCAUCAUCUUUGAUUGCUGCCAACAUAGCUGACGCAAUCUGAAUAUAACCAGAAAAUCUCCAAGUCAAGAAAAAAGAAAGCGGACAUAAAUGGUGGAGCACUGUACAAUUAUAUUAAAUUACCCUUUCCACAGUUAUGUAUCGGCCUUCCAGAACUGACUGGUUAAGAUGUUUAAUGCACCGCUCUGCAUCUUCAUUUGAAUCCAUUGUAACGAAGGCAAAACCACGGGAGAUGCGUGAACGAGGUUCAACAACAAGAAAACAUGAAGCUACCUGAAAAGGGGAACAGAACCAGAAGCAUAAAUGCAAAUUGAACUCUGAAAUGAAAAGCGCAGAGCAAAGCAUAUAUACCAUGAGAUGCAGAACCAGGAUAGAAAAACGUAGAAAACAAAGAUAAUAUAAAGCACCUUUCCCUCCUUUGAAAAGUGCCUUUCAACGUCCUUCUCUGAGGCCCUUUGAGAUAGACCAGUCACAUAGAGUGUAUUUCCAGGAUUCCCAACAGCAUCCCUGCCGCAUAAAAACACAAUUCAAUGAGAACACACACCUGUGAAUGAGCACAGUAAAAAACCAACAUUCACUGAAAAAACAAAACAGAAAAUAGUUUAAGUUUGACAACUGUCGGUUUUAUAGAACUACACCAACCUUCCAGGACUUCUGGAUCUUGACCUGCACCACAGAGUACCAACCAUUUUAUUAGAACACCAGUCAUGUAUCAAUGAAAAGAUAAUGAAGACUACAACUUACGUGAUGGAGUAAAUGAUGCAAAGCAUAAACCUUCUCUAAUGAGGAGACAAUGCAUAUGGCAUACAUAAAAAUAUAGAAAAGCUGAUGCACCUUAGAGUUAUUGAGUUGUAAUAUAGGUGUAGGAGAUGUCAAAGGUUUGUUAGGGCUUUUCAGGUUUACAUCAGGAAAAGGAGCUUGGUUCUGGGCUUUCAGUUUACUUUUAUGAUACCAGGCCAUUCUAUGUUGUUCGGUAGCGCCGGUAAAGAAGCCUGAAUAGAGCGCAUAACAGGCUAGGAUAGGAAAAGGUUUAUUCCUUGCACUUCUUCUCCUGUUGUUGGUGCUGGUUCCUACCAGAUUCAGCACAGGUAUCUUGACCAUUGAACCAAAAAGGAAUGCGCCAGGGAAACUCUUAGGUAAUGAGAAGUCAAGGGUGAUCCACUUAAAUUGCUCUCACAAGGAAAAUGAAAAACAAAGGAACCCCCACAGAUUCCUCCUUCGUAUCAAUGCAUCCAUGAUUUCGCCAUUCAAAACCCACAUGGAAACUGAAAAGCUGAUUAAGAAUAAACAAGAGCACCAACCUGCCACGACUUCUAGAACGAGACCUGUGCCUCGGCCUAGACCAGGAUCUUGAUCUUGACCUAGGCCUGGACAUAGACAUAGACCUGGACCUGGACCUGGAAUGAGACUGAGCUCUCCAUGAAGAAGGGGAACGUGAAUACCUGAACAUAUAACUUUGUUAGAAACAUAAAUGAGCAAUUUCUAACCACUAAAAAUCUGAUCUGAACCCCUUUUUGUAUAACGGAUAUAAAAAAUGCUCAAUAUACACCCAACACUGGUGUUUUAACUAGACUCAAUAUGAACCACAUUGUACAAUAUGAACACAGAUUACACCACCGAGACUCCCCAGAAGACAAAAAACAAUACCAGCCACGAUUACAAGACGAAGAAUAAAAUAAAAAACCUCUGAAUCAUAAUCACUCACUGUCAUUCCCCCAUAACUCAAACCUAACCCCAUCUCAAUCGUAAUUAAACCCUCAGAUUCCCUAUGUUAAUAGAUUCCUUGAGACUACGGCGCAUCAGAACAGUAACAUUUAUCAGCUCAAUCACAUUACUUCUUUUUUGCCUUUCAACUAUAUACAUGCAUGCAAUCAAAAUAUACCAAAUCUCUCCCAAAAACAAAACGACAUCGUAUAACCGAAAUCUUGAAACACAGAAACCACAAGGGCUCUAAUGCAUCAUUUUGAAAACAAUGACGGAAUUUUCCGAUAACUCCAACACCACAAGACGCAAAUCGCAAAACGACUCAACCAAUUGCACAUUAAUCUCAAAUUCGAACCAAGAAAACUGAAAAGGAGCUACAGAAAAAUUCUAGGGCGCUGUUUACCUUUUGCGAGGAGAAUCCGCCUACAUGUAAAAAGAAAACGAAAGAAACGCAUUAAACGAAUUGAAAUUUGAUGAAUGAUGCAAAAACAGGAGACGAAGAUUUGAGUAGGGAGAUUUACCAUUUUUGAAGCCUAAGCUCAAAAUCGACGAAUUAGGGUUUCAGAGGUCAAUGAGCUUUCCUUCAAGACCUUUUUGUGCAGACAAAGAAAGAACCCACUUUAUAUAUUUGCACAGGAGAGUGAUCCUCUGCGGUCAAGUGUUUAUGAGGUCAAUUAUGUCUUCAUCGAACUUUCUUACUGUUUUACUUGGCCUAUUAAAUAUUGCCACGUGGCUUAUGAGUAAACGGAUGUGAAAGAGGAAAUUAUUGGGGUCGUAUAUAACAGCCGUGUUCUUUUGAGCAUUUGGUAAAUAACAUUUUUACCAUUGUGUACCUGCAUUGUAUGUUUGACUGGUUACUUUUUUUUUUUAAGCCCAGAAAAGAACGAAAAAGGAGAGAAACUUUGCAAUGCAAUUGCGAUGAAUAACACACCAGAUAAGUAAACGAAGAAACCCCAUUCACAUUUCACAGUAUGCAAUAUCCCCCGUUGUCCAGGUGACAUGCCACGAACCAUUAACAAUUUCACAAAAUGUACACAUUUAACCCACAAUAAGAGGUCCUAAUAUGGCAAGAAAGGAAUAUCAUCUAGUUUGAUCUUUAGUAGAAACUUGAAAGGCUAACAACACCUAUUACUUCGACGAUAUUUGGACAAUCCUGUUAUGAACAAACAAAAUAGCAUACACGGAGGUCCUAUGUUGUCAAUUGAUCAGGAAGUGUAGCAGAAUGAGCUCCAAUAACUUUCCCGCCAACAUCAGGGAAAAUUUCAUAACCUGGCAGAGGUUUCACCUUACCAUCAGCAUCUACCAGCAACGGAUACCUAAGAAGGUGACCUUGCAAUUCUGUGAAAUCCGGUGAUGUGUAUCUCUUCCAGUUUUCUUCGGCAAUGCCAUUCACAGUUCUAACAGUUUCCAAACUUCCUGCCUCUUUAAAGCAUGGGUCAAACAUACCAAGAUGUUCAGCCCAGAGCGACAUUCGAUACCCAUAUAUCUGCAUGAACAGAGAAAAUUCACAGUUUAGUGUUGAACAGAUUUUGAACUCUGAGGUCAUUAUCUUUCAUAAACACCAUAUCCGGAUUCCGUUAAGUUACUUAGAAUGGGGGAGCAAAGGAGCAAUAAGGGGCUCCCACUCUAAAAAGAUCUACAACAAGACAAGUAGAAAUAUGUUCUGGAACAGCUAAAAGUAUUUACAGCACAUUUCUCAUGAAUGUUUUCUUUACCAUCAGCAUAUCAUUAAAUAAGUUUGCAACUGGCAAACGACACUAAGUACAUACCUGACCACAAGGAUGUCUCUUCUUCUCAGCCCAAGUGUGAUGGGGUUGAUACGAACCCAUAGCUAUCUCGGUGUCUUUUGUACCAGCCAUUGAUCUUUGGUUGAUAUUGGCAGACCCCACUAUAACAUACUCGUCAUCCACUAUCAUACCCUUGGCAUGAACAUAAAUCAUAAAGCGUUGAUACUUGUAUGCAUCAGAUAUCUGAAAGAACAAAUUAGUUUAAAGACCAAAAAUGGAGAUUUUCUGGCAGACAACAAGUAAACCAGAUAGAUGAAUUGAGAUUUAAAGCUCUGAAGACAACAAACAACUGUAGUUCAAAGCUAGUCAAAUAUCAGAAAAGAAGCAUCAUUAGCAUGAUAUGAAAAGAAAAGUCGACCCAAUUUAUUUCGAGCAAUGACCCAAAGUAGCAAGUAAAGUAUUUCAUGUUAGAAAUUAAAAGAAAGAAGAAAAGCAAAUGGAUCUAUUAAAGAUACUGGUUUUUGAGUUUCUAUUGUUAACCCCAACAGUUAGAAUAAUUUGCAUACCAGAUACAAACAAAAGUAAAGAACAUAUUUCCUCUUUCUUGCAGUCUAAAAGGUUUAUAAAAUGAAUAAUAGUAAACUUAUGCAGCACAGUCCAUUCUGAACUUGUUGAUAAAUUAAUCUCUGAUUAUAGGAGUUGAUGGUAACCAGAAAUAGAAUUGAGAAUUCCCUACUGAAGAAAAAUGGGACUUCAGGACACAUAGAUUUCAAGGUUACAGAGUACAUGUUAAAUAAAGAUAAUGGCAGCAUGGACUUGCAUAUACAAAGAGCUCAAAGAUGAAAGCAUCAUAGAUUAAGUAAAUGUAUUGACUGGAAGCCAAGAAUCUCUAAACUACAAGAACUAAGGGCCUAGAAUUAUUAGGAAAAAGAAAAAAAGACAAGCAGUAAAUGAUAAAAUCAGAGAAGUAUAGGAGACAUCCAUAUUAGAACAAUUACCGUAGAACCAUUGAUGUUUGAUGGUUCCUCAGACAGUUUUUCCCGAUUACCAAGGCAAUAGAAAUUAAGGUAAUCUUGAGGAUGUACGCCCUUAAGCUGCAAGGCUUUCAAUUCUCGUGCGACAACAUCAUACAUUGCUUGCAUUGUUUGGCUCUGUAAAAUGCAGACAUGCAUAAGUCAGACAGAAUCUUCCAUGUCAGUUCUGACAUAUCAAUAUACCAAAAACCAUAUAGAAAAUGAAUAAACUAUGCUUAUAUAAUCGUGGGAAAGAGAUGCCAAUACUAUUAUCAACAUCGAUGUUUAUAAAAACUAUUAGUAAGAGAAGCAUAGAUUAUCAAUCAUGUCAAAGGAAAAAACUCCAUCGCUGUUUAUAUGAGCAGAUAAGAGCACUAGAAGAACAUAAAAGCAAUCUCAGUUAUCAAUUGUCCUGAAAUAUAUGUUAUAUGAGUAGAUAUAUAAUAGACAGCCAAAUACCUGCCAGUAGAGAAUUUCUUGCAUUGCAGCAGUUUUCGGAUCACCUUCAGGCCACAUAGGUAAAACUACAUACACUGCAAAUCUCUCAUUUGCUCUAAUUUUGCUGGCAAUCUUCAGUGCCAACUCCAUUGGAAUAAGAUUGUCAGCUCCUGCUCGGACCAAGAAAGGAAUUAAGUGUUAAAUCAAAUUGAUAUAUCAGUUAAUGACAACUAUCUUACUUCCAUGAUAAAAAGCCAAAAAAUGUGUAAUUUCAGAAAAGAAAGUGCUUAGUAUUGGGUCAUUGAGGUUGAAGAAUACCAACAAUAAGCAAAAGUGCAAAUUUUUUAUUAUUCUUCGUCCAAUAUGGAUGGAUAAAUAAAUUCCGCUCAAUACAGAUAACAUAUAAAAUAUAUUCAACUGCACCUAUGUACAUGAAUAAUUCCUUAUAAUGUGCUGUUUUGCAAAUUAAACAUUUCGCUCCCAAAGUAUAAACAUUAUAUUUUUCUCAGUCAUACUUCAGUGCGCAGUAAAUUGUCACCAUACCUGCAUUUUUAUAAUCUGGCCAUGCAUAUGAUGAACCAAGAAAAUACUGAUUUUCAAUGUAUAUGAAAUGUUGGGCAGAUCUGAUUGCCUUGAUGUAUGCUGUCUGAAUGCUUUUAUCUAUUACUAGAUCCUUUGAGCAAAUAAGGUUCUGCAGUUACAGUAAGAGAGUAUCAUCAGCUUUCCUCCACAACUGAGCUUUCAUAAUAAGGUUUAAAAGAUGAAGGGAAGGACGGUGAAAAACCUGUGACUCAGCAACAAUUACAUCUUUGGGAAAUCCUUUCAGUGAUCCGGAGUCAAUAGACCGGAAAAUCUGCAAAAGAAAGAUGUAUACUCAAACUGAAUUCAUUGUCCUUUUCUUUGUAUACAUGUGAAAGAAAAAGGAAAAAAGCUGAGAAAAGAAGCAAAAAGAAAAUGCCAUCAUUUAACCUGAACAUGCCAAUUUUCGGGGUCAUCUUCUCUCUGAACCCAUACAGCUGUGUCGUUUUUGGGAAUGACUGUAAAUUUACUAUCCUUUGAAACUGGUAUCUCAGGACUGAGUAUCCAUGAAAUACGGCCUAUCUUAAUUAAAGCAUCAUCAUGCCAAUGCGAAACCUUUUUACGUAGUCCAAACUCCCUCCAUUGUGUUGCUUUCCUCCACCGUUGCUCAAAGUUUAUGAGAACAUCAUAUGCAGCAGGCCCAUCAAUUCUACAGUGCAAAUCAUGCCAUGGUUGCCUUGGAGCCUUGGUUCCAGCCUAGUGCAAGCACAACCACAAAAACCAUAAAGAUAUAUAUAUAUAUAUAUAUAUAUAUAUAUAAAGUGAGAGCAGUCAAAUUCUAUAUCAUUGUUGUCACAGGCUAUAAGUUAUGCUAGUCCAUGUUGAUAUUUAGCAAGAAUAAGAAAAUGAUGAAAGGGGCCAGCAUGUUAAAAACGAUGAAGAUUAUAGACAGACAGAACACCAAAUACUUACAGGAAAGGUAGGUUGAUGGAAAUCUUCUUUAAACACAGUGUCAACAUCACGAAAUAAUCUGUGCUCAGGCGUGUCAUAACGACCAUCACAGAGAUCAAGCCCCCCUAAAAAUGAAGUUAUCUUGCGGUUAUUACCAGACGCUUGUGUGUCCACAAUUACACAUUUUUGAUGGUGUGUAAAGAGGGUUCCAACAACCUGUAAAAAUCCAUAAAAUAAUGAGUUAAAUUUGAAAAACAAAUGUUAAAUUUGAAAAGCAAAUCACUAACAAGCAUCUGAUCAAAGUUAUUCUCAAACUAUUAAAAUAAAGCCAGAUGUAUCAAAACUGUCAAGAGAUUUAUCCCAUCACCAUUGCAAUUUAAAAUCAUACUGAUCAAAGGAAAACACGAUUACAAAAAUAUAAGAAUUGGAACCUGCCUGUUGUUUCAUAAUGCUAAGCUUACUACUGGCAUAGCGAGGUGCCAGAACACAAGUGACAGAUGAAUUCUUGAAAAACUUCCGGGUUUCUUCAUCAUGUGUUCCCAUCAUUCCUGCCUGCACCAUUCCCACUACGCAUUAUGACUCAAAUCCAUACAGCCAUAUAGAAUCCAGAACAAUCAAUUAAAGACAUUACACAUUUCAAUUCAUACACAAUUCUUAUCACAGUUACUGACAUAAAGAUUCCUAUAUAAGUUCAAAACCACAAUGCAGGUUAAAAUAAUUACCGAUUUUAAGUAGAACUUGUCAUGGGAGGUCUUAUCAUCCCAGACCAGCAUCAACACCCGCACGCCUUCUUCUGACUUAUACUUGAGCAUAUCUCCUAGCGUCAAUUCGCCGCCGCGUGGCAACGGCCGGCUCGGCUCUCUAACCAGCCUCACUUUGUGAUAUAUAGACCAUCCAGCCACAUAAAUCAUAUGGUGAGCCUCCGAAAUCGCAUAGCAAAUGUCUUCCCAGCAAUUCUCAGACUUAUAAACCUUCCUUCCAUCCAAUUCAAUCUGCGGCAGCAGCCCCUCCGGCACGUGCGCGUCCUGGUAGAGCCGCACGUGACUGCCUUUUCUCAGAGGGAAGUAUGUGUUGGGGACUCCCUUCCGUUCUGGAUCGCCGGCUAUGCCGUGCUUGUAUGCCGGAUUUUUCUCGACGGGAGUGAACUUCAACUCGACAUUGAUCGCGCACUGAGGCUUCGGAGGCUUUCCGGCGGGUCCGACAAUAUCGAACCAGCCGGAAAUCACUUCUCCGGUGGCGAUUUUGGCCGCCGAGAUCGAAGCGGUGCCGAUAAUCUGCGCGCCGAAGACGUCGUUAUCUUUGACCUGAAACUCAAGCUUAGCCACGGGAUGCGCGAGCGGGAUGCAAAAAGUCUCCCCCCACUGAGGAUUCUGCGCGUUCUUGAUGACGCGUGUACGCGCCACCGUGGCCUGAGGCACGCACACGCUGACGUAAGAGUCGCUGGUGAUGAGCUUCCGGUGGUGAGAAAUCUUGCCGUCCUCGGCCGACUGCUGAGCCUCCUCGGAGUGAGAACCACAGUUGAUGGUGUCGCAGGCGGUGAAGCAGCGGCGGAACCGUUCGGAGACGAUGUCCAUGUUAGGUAACCGCCGGGCCUCGAUGAUUUGGAGGUCAAGGUCGCCGUGCAGAUAGAUUAUCUGCUCCGACGUCGGGUCUGCCAUGGACGGCGGCGUCGGUUGAGCUCAGUCUAGGACUGAGAUUGGGGUUUGGAAUAGUGACAAAAACAAGGAGGAAAGGUUUUUGGCUUUGCUUGUAACAGCGAGAAACAACUGUACCGCUUUUGAGGGAAUUUAAAACUCGGAGAGAUUUUAGAGGGGAAUAGAGUGAGCGACGGAGGUGUGAGUUGUCAGUUGUCACUGUCCUUAUUUUUAUUUUCUGGAUUUCUUUUUUUUUUGUUUUUUUUUAAAUACAACGAGGAGCCUUUUAAGACGCUCAACAUAAAUUUAAUAAGUUUGAGUGGGAACCUCAUCAAACCAACACUCGGUGAACAAAGAGAGUGACCAAUCAAAACAAGAGUAUCCGCAACAAAAUUGGGUUCACUAAAUGUAUGAGAGAAGGAUAUAUUGUUAAAAUAAUCAGCUAGAGCUUUGACAUUUCGGAUUAGUGACUUGAGUUUUCAAAAAAUAGCAUGAAUCUUGACACAUUUGAUGAUAAAGGCCGAAUCUCCUUCUAAUUCAAUUUGAUGACAAUUACGACUUUUAGCAACAAGAAGCUCGUAUCUAAAGUAAUACAUUCAACCAGCGAAAUUACGAAGUUGUGAAGCUUCCAAGCAAACAAUGGGAGUAUCAACAAAAUCUUCUUUUUUGGAUUUGGAUAUGUUUUAUUCUAUUUAUGUUAGUGUCAGUUACAACUAAUAUCAAUUACACAGUCUUAUAAAUGUAGGUAAACAAAAAACGCGAUUCUAAAUACUACAUACGUUGUACCGCUAUACGAGUACAUUUUUAAAAGUAUAUGUAAUUAGAAAUGGAAUUCUCCCUUUUGUAGAAAACAAUGCUCAAGCUAGAAGAACAAACAAACAAAAUUGUAUACAUGACGGUUAAUUUUAUAUAUAUAUAUAUAUCUAUUAAUAUACAAAAUCAACCAUAUAUAUAUGUGUUAAUAACGGUUAAUUUUUACCGUCACAUGAUAUAUGUAAAUACACAUCUGUAUCUAAAACAAGAGAUUUAAACAUAAUGCCAAGUUGGAAGAAAUGGUUGAUAUUUUUUGUGAGUUGGAUACUCUAUUUUGGAAGUGACCCCAUGUUUCAUAAGUGCAAAUAAAUAUUGGACCCACGUCACUUUCCUCUUUUUUGUGAUCUUGUGGUUAUGAAAUGUUCUAAUUCUGGCAGUGAUUAACUAUCCAAAUCAAUUUGGAAAUUAAGCAUUAUUCCCAUUUGGGAGUGGUGACAAAUUAAUAAUAGAUCUUUUCUAUAAAACUAUAAAAGGUCUAUUAUUAAAUUACAUAGAUUUGUUUGGUGGACGUAUUGACUUGUAUUGAUAGCACUGAUUACAUGUAAAGUGUAGAUUGAAUUACAUAGAAUUAUGUCAAAUGUAAGAAAACUGAAGAUUAAAUUACACGACUUCAGUCGGGAAAAAAAGGUGAAAAGGGUGACCAACAAAGUAGGGUGGUGAGGGCCGGGUGUGGAUAUCAUUUGAUGACACAUUUAUUUAUUUUGAAUGAAAAAUAACUAUGAAUACAAGUGAAAUAAGAGAAUAAAUAAAUUGGUAUUAAGUUCGGAUAAUUGAUUCAUAAACUCUUCUUCCUCAUUCUUAAUUAAAUUCAUGAGUGUAUCAUAAAUCAACUUCUUGACAAAGAGACACCAAUUGAACAAGCAUUUUGCCCUGUGGCAUAGCGAAUGAGAGUGAGAGGGUUAAAAUGACCCUUCUCAUUUUCUCAUACUAUCCAUGAUUAGUUGAUAAACUACUUUCAUGCUUCUUAUGUUUUUAUUACAAAAUUAUUUUAAAGUUUGACCCUCAUACUACUUUCAUACAAUCCAAAAAAAUGUCUCACAAUAUAAGUAAUCGUCGUGAAUAUAGUAUAUAUUUUUAUUCAAACCGGUAAGGAUUUAGGCAAUACUAGCUCCUAUAAUACAAAAAGAAGGAAUAGUUAUGUUCCCCAAAGUACAAUGGAGAAAAAUAAAAGAAGUUUGAAAAAAUUAUUUUUGUUUAGUAGCCAGAAAACUAAACUGUGAGGAUAGCAAUUAUAAACAAGCCAAAAUCUCUUCUAAACCUAGUAACACUGUUAUACUCUUGCAGUAUAAGUUACCUAAACUUAAAACGCAAAAAAGUCUAAAAUUAAAAUCUCACUCUCCAUUAGCAAUUAUAAACAAGCCAAAAUUUGUUCUAAACCUAGUUAGACUGUUAUACUCUUGCAGUAUAAGACUAUAAGUUACCUAACCUUAAAAUGCAAAAAAGUCUAAACUUAAAAUCUCACUCUCGAUUUUCAUUUAGCACCUCGUCGAUUUUAUAUACGAUGGCAGCUGUUCCAAGCUAGCUUCUCUUUGUAUUCCCAGUCAGGAAUACAACCUACAUACACUAAGAAUAGGACUACUGACAGAAUAUAUAGUUAGGAUCGCCCUACCAGAAUAUACAGGUAAACCCAGCUAACUUAUCCAGCUAUUCCACGAAUCAAAUCAUGUACAGAUAGGAAAGGUUUCCUUGAGUUGCUGAGUGGUCGGGUUACCCUACCUAUCAUUCUAUGGGUGGUUGCCAUGUCCCCUCAUGCACGAUGUAACGAUUGUAACCUGCUCCUCAUGAGUCAUGACAGGACAUGUAUAUCUAGUUUAGGAUUGAAGUUAGAACACAAAUUAAUGAUUUGGUUAAUUAACUAUGAUUUAGGAGUGACGGUCGAGUAUUUGUAACGGUUUGGGUCCUCGAAAUAGUGAUUGUAAAUCGAGUUUCUAACUUAAUUUCCAACUCUUUCUUGCCAUUUGAGGUAACCCGAACAUCAUGAUACAUCAAGUCGAUCCGUGUUUAUCAAAUAAAAAUGUUAUAUAAAAUCAUAAACGUAAUAUGAUAUUUAUCAAUUUGACGAUUUGGUUAAGUAACUGUGAUUUAGGAGUGAAGGUAAAACCUUUGUAACGGUUUGAAUCGUCCAAACAAUUAAAAAAAGCUUAUAAAAUUAAGGCUAUAAACUUAAUAUGGUAUGUGAAUUUUUUUUUUUUUUUAAUUGACCUACGAAUCGCUCUGUCAUUGGCUUCUCCAUUCAUCAUUUCUUUUUCAAAUUGUAUUUGUUAUUACUUUGUUUUUUAUAUGCGACUUUGUGGUUUUUGUAAAUUUUUAUAAUGAAAAAAGGCUGUGGGCUAGCCGUGGGCUUGGACGCACAAUCAGUUGGUAUUAUGUCAUUCCAUAUCCAUAUUUAUAGAGCAAACCCAUAAUCAGCCUCAAUAACUUAACCACCCCAAGAUUAGCAACUCGCGAAGUCGCCAACCAUGCACCCCUAAUCUGGUGACCGCCUGACCGGAACUCACCGUGAUCACUCCGGAGUCGGCUAAAAGCCACCCCGAAAUAAUGAAACAUUGGACAAAGACAUAAGGAACAAAAAGAAAACCAUGACCAGUAAACACAAUAUAGGAAAUUCAGAAUGUUGUUUGUUUUCUUGAUCGAAAUAAGUACAUAUGGUCGCAUGUAGAAUAUACGUUACAUAUAUAGAUCUCAUACACUUAUUUAUUCAGAUUUUGUGGAAUUGUAACAUGUAACACCACUUAUUUAUUCAGAUUUUGUGUAAUUGUCAUGAUGUUUCAUUGAAGCUGACAUGCUAUCAGCAAUUGAUGAAUGAAUUCUCUAAAAAAGUUUCUCAUUCUUGGAGCAGCUGUAGGAGCAAGAAUCAACAUAGCCUUGUGCAUAGCUUGUGAGAUCUACAUGACAAACAAUCAUAUCGUAAAUAACUUGGAAGUAUAAUGAAAUUACAAAUGAGAAAGAAUCUAAUCAAGUAGAAAUUUAGGUACCAGAAACGGAAAUAUUGGCAACGGGGGUCAUAACUUUGCUCACAGAGGUCACACAAUCACGAGCACAACCAUAGGCAACGUCGCCGGAAUCAGUAUACGUAGUUGGAAUAAGCCUGCAGGCAACCAUGCAAAGCCCGAAGCACGCUACAUAAUUUGGAGGAUCUUCUAAGGAAGGAAUGCAAGAGACACCACACUUCUUGGCACACGAUUUGGUUUUUGAGUUUGGAAAGACAAGAGAGUCAUGAGGAGCUGGCGCUGCUGCUACUGAAAGCACAAGCAUGCUUAGCAAUCCCACACAUCUCAACACAGUUCUAGUACUAGCCUCCAUUGCAAAGUUAAGUUCUCUUCUCUUUUAAUCAAUUGGUUUUUGGUUUUGGUUUGUUGCUAGGAUGAAGUGGAAGCUAAGCUCAAACCUUAAUUUAUAGGGUGGCAAUUUAUUCAAUCUCUCAAGGAGGUAAUUUAUUUGGAUCCAGUGUAUUUAGUUUUACAUGCAUCUACACAAGGGAAAAUGAAUGUACACAUGCGUAAAUGAUAAUUAAUUGUGACACAAAAAACAAAUCAAAUUGGAAUCUUAUCCAACAAUAUAUGGGAAUAAUGUAAUAUUUUGGGAAAAUGCCCAAAUGCCCAAAAACAAGGAUUUUAAUGCCUACUUCAAUGCAAAUCUUUUCUGUUAGCCCAUUUCAAUGAUUCUUAUGCAAAAGACAUUAUUAUCCUCUAUAGAAUUAAACCCAUACAAAUCUCAUCUUUUUCUCUUCUCUCUCUUUUCUUUUCCUCCCGAUCUGCUCUCUGCUCUGCUCUCUCUCUCUCUCUCUCUCUCUCUCUCUCUCUCUCUCUCUCUCUCUCUCUCUCUCUCUCUCUCUCUCUCUCUCUCUCUCUCUCUCACACACACACACAGAUCCUUCGUCGACGACCUCAUCCUCGCCUCCACCAUCUCCGGCGACCUCUUCCGUUGAGGGACGUCUGUCCGCCACAUCUUGAUGAGCGCGCCGCUCUCCUCCGACCUCCUCUCGUCUCUAGGCGCUCGUUGGUCGUCGUUGGUCUCUCGCCGCUCGUCGGUCGCGGCUCAUCUCUCGGCGCUCAUCGGUCAGCACUCGGCUGUCGUCGGUUUUCUCUCAGCACUCGGCGCUCGACGGUCUUCUCUCGGUGCUCAGCGGUCGUCGGUCUUCUCUCGACGCUCGGCGGUCGUCGGUCUUCUCCCGACGCUCGGCCUCCAUGGCCAGAUCGAAGUCGUCGAGUGCGUGGUGAGGGAGGUGAAGCAGUUUUGAUGAGGGAGGAGUAGGUACGGUGAGGGAAGGCGCAUGGUAAGGGAGUAGAUCCGGUGUGUGAGGGUGCAUGGGUUUGUUGUAGGUGUAGUUGUAUUUUUGUAGUUGAUAGGUAACUUGAUUAUUCGUGUUGUAGUUUUGAUUGAUUAUUGAUGGUCAAUAACUCGAUUAUGUUCUGGUAUUUCUUCUUUUCUAUUACAAUAAGUUGAUUAUUGGGGGUCAGUAACUGAUUAUUAGAGGCUAAUAACACGAUUAUUAGGGGUCAGUAACUGGUCAAUAACUGGUUACUGGGGGUUAGUAACUGGUUAUUAGGGAUUAGUAACUGGUUAUUAGGGGUCAUUAACUGGUUAUUGGGGGUCAGUAACUAGUUACAAAGGAAAUUCCGAUGAUCGGAGUCUCGCGGUCGGGGAAAUUCCGGUGACCGGAGUCCGGCGGUCGAAAAAAUUCCGAUGACUGGAGUCCGGCGAUUGGAAAAAUUCCGGUGACCGGAGUUCGGUGGCCAGUGACAAUAGUCCGGUGAGAUUCUGGCCAAGUAUUCUCUCUUUUAUUUUCUCUCUCUAUGCAUAUGUAAGGGGUGAUGGCAAAAUAGUCUUAAAAUAAUAUGGUUUGUUAAGACUUUAGUAAAGAUUUGUGCAUUUGGGCAUAAAGAUUUGUGCAUUGGGGUAUUAAAAAGGGCACCUUAUAUUGAAAUGGGCUAAUAAAAAAGAUUUUCAUUGGAAUGAGAAAUAAAUGGUUUAGAUUAGUACUAAAUAGGCAUUUUCUCUAAUAUUUUUAUUCAUCUCUCAAGCGUAACUUAUUUAUUUGACCAAAAAAGGGAGGUAACUUAUAUAGUUUUAUAUCCAUGAACGGGAAAAUUAUCAUUAUAUUUAACUAUAACAUUAAUGAUAAUUAAUUGAGACACCAAAAAUAAAUCAUGAUUACAUUCUUAUAUAUGGGAACAUAUGAGAGUGGUUCUAACGAGGACCAUUAAGUUAAGGACUACUUGAGGGCUUAUUCGUUUCACUCAUUUUUCGAUCGCAUAUUCACAUCUCGAUCGUCUAGUUUGUAGAUAUAUAUGAGUAGAUUAUCUCUAUAAAUUUUCAUUCAAAUUGAAAAUCGUUAAGACAUUCAGAAAUGUGAUUUACCAAUUAUAAAAUUGAACGGCUCCAAUUUGACAGAUUUGAAUCGUCCAUUGAUUUGAUUUAGUUCGUUCUUUUAACGACCAUCAAUUUGACUGAAAAUUUGUACAAAUGAUCUAUUAAUAUAAACCUAAAACUGAACGAUAAAGAUAGAAAAAUGUAAUUAAAAAGUGGGUGUAAUUAAACGAUUAAUGAGAAAGUCAUCAACUAAUCCUUAAUUUAGUGGUCCUCGUUAGAAUCCCCCCUCAUGGGAACAUUCUCACAUUUAACAAACUACAUAUUAGUUACUAACCAAAUAUCAGUUUACAAAUACAUCAUUUACACAUUAUUUCACACACUUAAGGACAAAAAUUAACAAAUAGGUAAUGUCCACAUAUCAUCUCACUCAUCUGUCACUAUGUAUUUUACCAGAAUACCUUUCACUACAUAUUCUGUUGCUAUUGACGACGAGAAAUGUGCUACUUCCAAUAAAAAUGUGCUACUUACGAUGCUAUUGCAAUUUAAUUUGCUACUUAUGGUGUCAAAUAAGAAAUUUCACACUUUAAUUUUAGAGCGAAAUUUCAGAGCGAAGCUUCGCUCUGGAUAUAAAUUGUAUAAUUAAAGUGUGAAGUUCCUUACUGUCGACGAGAAAUGUGUUACUGCCGAGCAGAAAUGUGCUACUGCCAAUAAAAAUGUGCUACUUACGGUGCUAUUACAAUUUAAUUUCCUACUUACGGUGUCAAAUAAGGAAUUUCACACUUUAAUUUUAGAGCGAAAUUUUAGAGCGAAACUUCGCUCUGGAUAGAAACUAUAUAACUAAAGUGUGAAGUUCCUUAUUUGACAUAUUUUUCUGUCAUAUUUCAAUAUCUUCAUCGUUCAAUUUAUUGAUACUAGUGUAUAGAUCAUUCAUGCAAAAUUAUUUGACACAUUUUUCUGUCAUAUUUUAAUAUCUUCACCGUUCAGUUUAUUGAUACUAGUGUAUAGAUCAUUCAUGCAAAAUUUUAUUCAAAUUGAUGAUCGUUUAUGUACCGAAUUAGGUUAAAUCAAUGAACGGACCAUAAAUAUGUAUAACUAAAACUGUUUGUGUAAAUCACGAUCAUGAACACCCAAACGACCAUCAAAUUCAAUAAAACUUGGCAGAAUUUGUUUCUACAAACUGAACGGUGAAGAUGUUGAAAUAUGACCGAAAAGUGUGUCAAAUAACUAUAUAUCAGUUCCCUUCCAGAGCAGGACACCGCUUUGAAAUUAAGGUGUGGUGUUUCUCAUUUCGCUCACUUUUAGGUCACAUUUUUAUAUCUCCACCGUUCAGUGUCUAGAAUAUAGUGUUUAGAUUAUUCCUAUAAAAUUUCAUUCAAUUUGGAGAUCAUUUGAGCUUCCGUAAUUGUAAUUUACACGAACGGUUUCGUUUGGACAGAUUUUGUUUAGUUGAUUCAUUUAAUCUAAUUCGGUAUCAAAAUGAUUUCCAAAUUGGAUGGAACUUUACAGAAAUGAUCAACACACUAUGUUCUAGACACUGAACAGUGAAUAUGUGAAAAUAUGACCUAAAAGUGAGCAAAAUGAGAAGCACCACACUUUAAUUUCAAAGCGGUGUUCCACUCUGGAAGGAAACUUAUAUAUAUAUAUAUAUAUAUAUAUAUAUAUAUAUCCGAAUCUAGAAAGGACCUCUUUAAACUCUUAAAGUGAGGAUGUUUUUAGUCUAGCAUAUAUUUGACAAUCAAAGCCACUCAUUCCCUAGUUAUUUACCCACAUAUGAAUCCUAAAAAAAAAUUACCAAAAUGAAAAAUGUUUAACCAUUUGAUUAACACAAUAUUUGUUUUAAUUUUAUCUAACGGCCUAUAAUUGUUUAUGUCAAUUUGAAUGACCAAAUGAUUAUGGAAUUAGUUGAAAUUUUGUAGACAUGUAUCUUGCAUAUGAAUUUAGAUGAUCAACGGUUAACAUCGUUAAAUGAAGUCAUCUACUAAUGUAAAAUAGUAGAAAUUCUCAAAUUCUUAAAGUAAGAAGGUCCUCUUUAGAUCCUAUAUAUAUAUAUAUACCUUUCUCGGCUGCGGACGUCCGCACCAACGAUUUUGGUGAGGAUUUGCUAUUUUUGCACCACUUUCCGAUCUAAAUUUUCUCAUCUCCACCGUCUAGUAUCUAGAUAAUAUNNNNNNNNNNNNNNNNNNNNNNNNNNNNNNNNNNNNNNNNNNNNNNNNNNNNNNNNNNNNNNNNNNNNNNNNNNNNNNNNNNNNNNNNNNNNNNNNNNNNNNNNNNNNNNNNNNNNNNNNNNNNNNNNNNNNNNNNNNNNNNNNNNNNNNNNNNNNNNNNNNNNNNNNNNNNNNNNNNNNNNNNNNNNNNNNNNNNNNNNNNNNNNNNNNNNNNNNNNCAGAGAUGAUCUACACAAUAUUAUCUAGAUACUGGACGAUGGAGAUGAGAAAAUUCGAUCAAAAAGUGGUGCAAAAAUAGAAAUCCGCACCAAAAAAUUGAUGCGGAGAAAAUCCGUAUAUAUAUAUAUAUAUUUAUAUCUUCAGCAAAAUGUACAUACAUUCAGCAAUUAUUGAUUCAAACUUGUCCAUGAGCAAACAACAUUCAUUUCUCUCAACAUUUAUCGAAUGUUAUUGUUUUUUUAUUUAUUUAUUAUCGAGACAAGUGCAUAAUUGUACAUCAUUACAGUACAUGUGUAAAUUAAUCUCCUACCACGCAUUAUCAUUUAGUAUUAAUCUUGCAUAUUCUAUUAUUUAACACCAAAAUGUUCUACUCAAUAGGUGACAUGCUAUUAACUAGCAGUUGAUGAAUUAUCCAAAAACGUGGAAAUGAGAAGAAUAAGUAACGGAAAAUAGAGGGUUUGGCAGCAGUGGUCAGUGGUCAUGGCUUUGCUCAUAGAGCUCACACAACUAUACGAGUACAACCAUAGGCAACAUCAGAAUUUAGCCAAUCUUGCAGGCAGUCUUGCAAAGGCCGAAGCACGUUGCAUAUUUUACAGGACUACUGACUAUGUCCAAAGCGCAAGAAGCUGCUGCUAAUGAAAGCACAAGCAUGCCAAGCAAUGCCACACAUCUCAACACAGUAUUCGCACUAGCCUCCAUUGCUAAACUGAUUUGGUUAUUCUAGCUAGCUAGUUUACUCUGUUGAUGGAUGAAUCGCUAGUUGACCUCAAGGCGCCAGGGUGGUUGUUUGGCCGUCUAUAUGCCACCGUGGCACGGUCUUCUUGGCCGACUCGGAUCUGGGCAGUUGGAUGCGCGAUCUUCUUCUCCCAAAAGAUCAACGGACCGGGUCUCGUCGGGUUCUCCAAAGGUUUGGUUUGUUGUGUAGCACAAUAUCAUGCACCUUGUGGCGUUAAGGUUGCGGAUGAUUCUGAUUACGGUGCCAUGGAAGCAACUGAAGGCGGCGGCGCAAACCCUAAUGCAAUCACACAAGCGUCGAGAUGACUAAUGUUGUCAAGCAAGGUUGAGCCUAUUGAGCUUGCUUCUUCUGGGCUUGGGAUAAUGUUCUUGAACCUUAUUUUGGGCCUGUGAAUGAGUGGGUUGGCAUUUUAUGAUUAGGUUAAAGUUUUCUAUUACAGUGUUUGUCAUGCACGGGUGGUAGGUUUGUUUUAAGUAAGCAAGCGAUUGAACCGUUAAAUGAUUAGGCUUAUUCUAUGUAUCACUAUGAUCUUGUAUCGCAAACUUUUUAUCAACCCAUAGUCGGUAGAGAGAGGGUGUGUAAUAGUUUUUUCUCGCUUGAGUAUCAAUAUAUCAUCGAUAUUUUUCAAAAAAAUAUGGUUGCAUGCAUGAUAUAUAUUACAUAUAUAAAUAUCCUAUAACUGUUAUUCAUUAUUUUGUAUAUUUUUAAAAUGUAAUACCACAAUGUUCCAUUGAAGUUGACAUGCUAUCAAGCAAUUGAUGAAUUAAUUAUCUAAAAAAGCUUGUUAUUCUUGGAGCAGCUAUAGGAGCAAGAAUCAACAUAGCCUUGUGCAUAGCUUAUGAGAUCUACAUGACAAACAAUCAUAUCGUAAAUAACUUGGAAGCACAAUGAAAUUAUAAAUGAAUUAUUCAAAAAAAAUGAAAUUAUAAAUGAGAAAGAGAGAAUCUAAUCAAGUAGAAAUAUAAGUACCAGAAACGGAAACAUUGGCUACGGGGGUCAUAACUUUGCUCACAGAGGUCACGCAAUCAUGAGCACAACCAUAGGCAACGUCGCCGGAAUUAGUAGUUGGAAUAAUCCUGCAGGCAAUCAUGCAAAGGCCGACACACCCUACAUAUUCUGGAGGAACUUCUAUGGAAAGAAGGCAAGAGAUGCCACACUUUGCCGCACACGAUGAGGUUUUUGAGUUUGGAAAGACAAGAGAGUCUGUUGGCACUGCUGCUAAUGAAAGCACAAGCAUGCCUAGCAAUCCCACACAUCUCAACAUAGUUUUAGUAUUGACCUCCAUUGCAAAGUUCCUCUUCUCUUUUAUUUGGUUUUAGUUUUGGUUUUUGUUUGUUGCUGGAUGAAGUGGAAGCUCAAAGCUUAAUUUAUAGGGUGGUUCUUUUGCAUUCUAUGGAAAUGUCAUCAAUUCUUUUUUUUCUUUUUUUUUAAGAAAUAAAAAUGUCAUCAAUUCUUAAUCAACAGUAUAUUGAAAAUAAUGUUAUACUUAUAUUCAUCUAUCCAUAUUUAGUUUUACAUCCAUGGACAUAACGGAAAGUAAUCAUUAUAUCUAAUUAGUAUCUCCAGCAGUGUUGCUAAAAAUAAAAUUUGUCAAUUUUUAAGGUAAAUUGAUGCUCCAACAGAAUACAUAAACUAUUGCUAAAUUUGAUAAUUGCUAAAUGAAAUUGACAAAUUUGUCAAUGAUUCAUCCAUAACUAAAAUUAUAGCUAAAUCUUCUCUUUCCUCUCUUACCCAGGUAUCACUUUACAAUUUGUUAAAAAAUAAUAAAUAGCAGUGACUGAUGGAGCAACAUUGUUAAAUUAAUACCUAAAUUUCAAAAUUCUUGCUAAAUAUAUCAAUUUAUGAAUUUCACUGCUGGAGAUCCUCUAGCGUUAUUGAUAAAUAAUUGGGACACAAAAGAUAAAUCAUAAUGAAAUUUAUUGAUACAACUCGUCAACAGUCAAGACAAUUAUAUUACCUUGUUUGUUUCGCAAAAAGUAGGCAUCAGGAAAGUAAAGUAGUUUUUUUCCUACAUUUGGGAAAACAGAAGGAAAGGAAAGACUUUCAUGCAUGAAAGAAAAAUAUGGGAAAAAGUGGCCCAUUCCAAAAUCCAAAUGAACCACUUUCUUUCCGUCUUUCCUUGCUUUCCUUACGUUACUAAACAUCAGAUGAUCAGAAUGAAAACUUCUCUGGAAAUUUCAUUUCCGUUCACUUUCUGUUCCCAUCGGAGAGAGCAAGAAACUACUUUCCAUUCCGUGAACCAAACGAGGCGCCUGAGGUUUUGAUUUUGAGGAUGAGCUUCGUCUAUACCCAUAACAUUGUCUUGCUUAUUACUUUGGUUACUAGAGCGUAUUCUCAUGAUAGUUACAUUUAGGAUUAAAUUCAGUGUACUAUCCUAAAUUUCAGGUCACUCAUUAUUUAAUGACAUUUAUGCCCUUUUUAGUGGGUUAAAAACUAAACGGUGGGUCCUCUUUGUAUCCUACACGUCGGAUGCUUAUGUCAUGCCUAGAGGGAAUUGGAAAAUUUUCCGAUUUUGAUAGAUUUUAAGAGUAUAAAGAUACACGUGAUUAAGAAAAGAACAUAGACACAACUGAUAAAUGACCUAAAGUUCAAGGUAUUACAUUGAAUUUCAUCCUUACAUUUAAGUUGUUAUGUGGCAGCCCAACUUGGCUUGAUAUUGACGUGACCCCUUCAAAAAAUGUCAUGUUUGUAUACUUAGACACAUUGAAACAUUUAUAUACUAUCAAUAAAAUGUACACACAUUCAUCAAAUUAUUGAUCUUGUCCAUUAACAGUUAACUAACAAGAUUUGGUUCUCUCAACAUAAUUUUGGUAGCACAACUUCCGAUGACCACGAGGCAAAACACAUAUCCCAGAACAACCACAUUGUGCCACAGACCAAUCAUUAGCCUAAACUAAACUGCUUUGAUAGACCAAUUCACUUGCAUUACUUUGUGUCAUCAGCUUCACCAUCUGUACCUCUUCUCCUCAAAUUGUAUUUGUGUUACUUUGAACCUCAUUUUUUAUUAUUACACAUAUUAUGAACCAAAAGAAACUAUGACGAAUAAAAACAAAUUGGUAAAUUUUGAAUAUUAUUGUUUUCUUGAUCGAAAUAUGUACAUAUUUUCAUGUACAAGAUAUAUGUUGCAAUUUACACAGGUAUGUAGCGGUAUUUUGUAUAUUUGAAACACCAGGAGGUUCCACUAAAGCUGAAUUGCUGCUAAUCACAGCCACAAUAGAAAUGAGAAUCGAAAAGGAGAGUUUAUGUAGAAGUAUAGGUACCAGUAAUGGCGGGUUCGGCAAGAGUGUUUGUGAUGUCUUUGCUCAUAGUGGUCAUGAGUCAUGACUUUGUUCGAUCAUAGGGCUCACACAACCACAAGCACAGUCAUAACAAAGGUCUGAAGUUGAUUGCCACUAGUAGAACCACGAGCACAGUCAUAGCAUGCUUGAUAUGAACGAUGAAAGCAUAAUGUCACGCCCCGUCAAUUUAACAAGGAGUUUCCUUGAGCAUUUUUGACACAAGCAUGGCUCAAAGAAGGAUUUGGUGAGCACAUGAGCAUUCUAGAAGUAUCCGGAAUAUUAUGAAAGGUCUUGGAAGCUUCUGGAAAGAUUAGGAAGAAUUCAGACAACUCCGAAACUCUCUAGAAUCUUAGAGUCUCUAAGACACUCCGAAACUCUCUAGAACCCUAGAGAGGGGUUCAAGGCUCAAGACUACUCUGAAAGUCUCUAGAAUACUCAAUGUAACACUUAGAAUAGUAUAGAAAACUCUAGAAUCUCUAUACUUCUAAAAAUCCUAGAAUUGUCUAAAAACUUAGACAAAGGGGGAGGAUUCCUAUAAAUAGGGAGGCACCCCUCCCAUUUGAGACAUAGAGAGUUGGAUAGCAUUCAAGCUCACUCACUUGUAAAACUUUGUAAAGUUCUCUUAGCUUAAUACAAGUUCUCUCUUUCAAAGUUCUUCUCCCUUUGUUCGAGUAUUCUAGUCGAUCAAAGCGUUUGCGUGAGUACGGCUGAUUUAGCAUAAGGGAAGUGCUAAGGCCGCACGAGAAGCUUAGGAAAAAGGAAGCUCGUGACAAUAAGCUUGCCUAGAAAAGCCACACUUCUUAACAAACUACUUAAGUUGGGUCAUAAUUUUAACCUCAGACACCAUUAUGAUAUUAUAGAAACUAUAUUCACCUUAAUUAUCAAUCAUCCAUACUUCGCGUACUGUUAUUAAAAUUUUCCCAUAUAUAUAUAUAUAUUACAUAUGUAAAUAUCCUACAACUAUUAUUCAUUAUUUUGUAUAUUUUUAAGAUGUAACACCACAAUGUUCCAUUGAAGCUGACAUGCUAUCAGCAAUUGAUGAAUUAAUUCUCUAAAAAAAUCUUGUUAUUCUUGGAGCAGCUGUAGGAGCAAGAAUCAACAUAGCCUUGUGCAUAGCUUGUGAGAUCUACAUGACAAACAAUCAUAUCGUAAAUAACUUGGAGGCACAAUAAAAUUAUAAAUAAGAAAGAGAAAAUCUAAUCAAGUAGAAAUAUAGGUACCAGAAACGGAAACAUUGGCAACGGGGGUCAUAACUUUGCUCACAGAGGUCACACAAUCACGAGCACAACCAUAGGCAACGUCGCCGGAAUUAGUAGUUGGAAUAAUCCUGCAUGCAAUCAUGCAAAGCCCGAAGCACCCUACAUAAUUUGGAGGAUCUUCUAAGGAAGGAAUGCAAGAGACGCCACACUUCUUGGCACACGAUUUGGUUUUUGAGUUUGGAAAAACAAGAGAGUCAUGAGGAGCUGGUGCUGCUGCUAAUCAAAGCACAAGCAUGCUUAGCAGUCCCACACAUCUCAACACGGUUCUAGUACUAGCCUCCAUUGCAAAGUUCCUCUUCUCUUUUAUUUGGUUUUAGUUUUGGUUUUUGUUUGUUGCUGGAUGAAGUGGAAGCUCAAAGCUUAAUUUAUAGGGUGGUUCUUUUGCAUUCUAUGGAAAUGUCAUCAAUUCUUUCUUUUCCUUUUUUAGAAAGAAAAAUGUCAUCAAUUCUUAAUCAACCAGUAUAUUGGAAAUAAUGUUAUAUUUAUAUUCAUCUCUCCAUAUUUAGUUUUAUAUCAAAGUAAUCAUUAUAUCCAAUUAUAGCGUUAUUGAUAAAUAAUUGAGACACAAAAAAUAAAUCAUGAUGAAAUUUAUUGAUACAACUUGUCAACAGUCAAAGCAGUUAGCUAGUUACAUUGACUAUCUUAAGGCCUCGUUUGUUUCGCAAAAAGUAGCAUCAAGAAAGUAAACUAGUUCAUUUCCUACGUUUCGAAAAGCAGAACCAAACUAGCGCGUAUUCUCACGGUAGUUACAUUUAAGAUUAAAUUCAGUGUAUUACCCUUAAUUUUAUGUCAUUUAUCAGUUGUGUCCUUGAUAUUUUUUUUUUAAUCAUGUGUGCCCCCUUGUGCUCUUAAAAUCCAUCAAAUUUGGAAACAAUUUCAAAUUCCCUCUUGGGAAUGACGUAAACAUCCGACGUGGAGGAGACAAAGAGGACCCAUCGAUUAGUUUUUAUCCCAUAAAGAAGGGUAGAAAAGUCAUUUAAUGCUAUUUUCUUUUCUCACUUUUUUUUGGUUCUCUCUCUCUCUCUCAACUUCGCCAAUUUUCUUUUCACUUCACCCAUUUGAAGAAUCAAACCCUAACUUGAACACCUUCCGCCAUAUCUAAUCAAACCCACAACCAAACAAUCAGCAAACCCCACAAUCCCUACACUUCAGCUCUUCUUCCCUUGAAAUUUAAUCCCAAAUUCGUUGUGAAAUUCAGUAGAAAAAUCCCCAAAUUGCAAUCAUCAAAAAUCUAAAACUCAACAUUGAGGAACUGAACAACUCCAUCUUCUUCUCCGAUUACCACGAGGACACCCAGCUCUGCAUCCUCUCCUUCUUGACCCCACCCGAGAUUACAAAUUCGCCUGCACCUCGAAACAGUCUGCAGGAACGAUGACGAGCUCUACUUCUCCACGUGCGACCGCCGAUAAGAAGAAGAAGAAGAAGAGUGCGAUCAUCGACGACGAGCUCUAGUUCUAGUUCUCCAAUUUUAUGGUUUCAAAUUGGGUUUGAGAUAGAAGAGGAGAGUGUGAGAGGAAGAAGAAGAGCUGACGAGGAGAGCGAGAGAAGAGAGGAGAAGGAGGAAAAAGAAAAGAAAGUCAAAAUUGAAAAGAAAAAAAUGACAUUAUUGACAUUUAUGACCUUUUUAGUGGGUUAAAAACUGAAUGGUGUAUCCUCUUUGUCUCCUACACGUCGGAUGCUUAUGUCUUGGUUAGAGGGAAUUGGAAAAUUUUCUUUGAUGGAUCUUAAGAGUAUAAGGGUACACGUGAUUAACAAGAAAAACAUGACACAGCUGAUAAAUGACCUAAAGUUCAAGGUAAUACACUGAAUUUAAUCAUUACAUUUAAGUUGUUAUAUGACAGCCCAACAUGGCUUGAUAUUGACGUUACCCCUUCAAGAAAUGUCAUGUUUGUAUACUUACACACAUUGAAACAUUUAGGACUAAUUUCCGUUUACCCCCAUCAACUUUAUGUCGAUCAUCAUGUUAGUUCUUCUUCUUUCAAUUUCAUCAAAAACACCCGUCAACUUCCAAUUUUCAUCAGCCGCGCAUGUCCAAACCUCCAAUCUCCAUCAAAUUCUUCUGUUAAGUGAUGACUUGAUAUCAAGAAGAAAGUCAAAUUUUUUGAAAGUUACCUUUCGAACCAUUUUUCUUCCAUAUCAAUACACAUCUUCGUUCUCAUCACAACCCUCUAACCUUAGUGAUUUUGGUGGGAUUGAAUGUAAUUUGUCUAUUUUUCCUUUUUUCUUUCUUCUUGAUAUCAAGUCAUCACUUAACAGAGGAAUUGGAUGGAGAUUGGAGGUUUGGACAUGCGCGGCUUAUGAAAAUUGGGAGUUGAAGGGGUGUUUUUGAUGAAAUUGAAAGAAGAAGGACUAACAUGAUGAUCGACCUAAAGUUGACGAGGGUAAACUGAAAUUAGUUCAAACAUUUAUAUACUAUCAACGAAAUGUACACACAUUCAUCAAAUUAUUGAUCUUCUCCAUUAACAGUUAACUAACAAGAUUCGGUCCUCUCAACAUAACUUUGGUAGCACAACUUCCGAUGACCACGAGGCAAAACAGAUCCCAGAACAACCACAACAUAACUUUGGUAGCACAACUUCCGAUGACCACGAGGCAAAACACAUCCCAGAACAACCACAUUGUGCCACAGACUGAUCAUUAGCCUAAUCUAAACUGUUUUGAUAGACCAAUUCACUUGCAUAACUUUGUGUCAUCAGCUUCACCAUCUGUUCCUUUUCUCCUCAAAUUGAAUUUGUGUUACUUUGAAACUCUUUUUUUAUUUUUUAUUAUUACACAUAUUACGAACCAAAAGAAACUAUAACCAAUAAAAACAAACUGGUAAAUUUUGAAUAUAUAUAUUUAUAUAUAUUAUUGUUUUCUUGAUCGAAAUAUGUACAUAUUUUCAUAUACAAGAUAUAUGUUACAAUCUACACAGGUAUUUAGCGGUAUUUUGUAUAUUUGUAACAUCAUGCCACUGAUGCCAGGAGGUUCCACUAAAGCUGAAUUGCUGCUAAUCACAACCACAAUAGAAAUGAGAAUCGAAAAGGAGAGUUUACGUAGAAGUAUAGGUACCAGUAAUGGCGGGUUUGGCAAGAGUGGUUGCGAUGUCUUUGCUCAUAGUGGUCAUGACUUUGUUCGAUCAUAGGGCUCACACAACCACGAGCACAGUCAUAGCAAAGGUCCGAAGUUGAUUGCCACUACUAGAACCACGAGCGCAUGCACAGUCAUAGCAUGCUUGAUAUGAACGAUGAAAGCAUAAGCUUUGCCUAGAAAACCCACACUUCGUAAAAAAGUAUUAGCCGCCUGAUAUCAGUGAUAUGAACAUAAAAGUAUACAGGGAGGUCUUAUGUUGUGAAUUGAUCAGGAAUUUUAAUAGUAUGAGCUCCGAUAACUUUGCCGCCAACAUUAGGGAAAUUUUCAUAUCCUGGCAGAGGUUCCACCUUACCAUAAGCCCUUACCAGCAACGGAUACCUGAGAAGGUGACCCUGCAGUUCUGUGAAAUCCGGUGAUGUGUAUCUCCUCCAGUUUUCUUCGGCAAUGCCAUUCACAGUCCUCACAGUUUCCAAACUCUCUGCCCCUUUAAAGCAUGUGUCCAACAUACCGAGAUGCUCAGCCCAGAGUGACAUUCGAUACCCAUAUAUCUGCAAGAAGAUAUAUUCAAAGUUUAUGAAUCAAUAUAAAUGUCAAACAAAUGUCGAAAAAUUCCUCGAUAUGGGGAUUCCGUGCAAGUUUCUUAGAAUUGAGGAUUUGGGGAGCAAAGGAGCAAUACGGGGCUGCAAGUCUAGAGUUCUACAGCAAGACAAGAAGUAUAGAUAUGUUCUGGAACAGCUUGUGCUCAUGGAAGAUAAAAGUAUAUACAAGUCAUUUCUCCACAAAUGUCUUCUUUAGCCAAAGAAGAGGAGAAUCAAUAAAUUAGAAGUUUGCAAAUGGCAAAAAACACUAGGUUACAUGCCUGACCACAAGGAUGUCUCUGCUUCUCAGCCCAAGUGUGAUGGGGUUGAUACGCACCCAUAGCUAUCUCAGUGUCUUUAGUACCAGCCGUUGACCUUUGGUUAAUAUUGGUUGAUCCCAGUAUGACGUACUCGUCAUCUACUAUUAUACCCUUGCAUACAUAAAUCAUUAAGACAUUUAAACUCGAUUAAAUCAUUAAGAUACUUAAAUUCGAUUAAACUAAUGGAUGAACAUAAUUCUGUCGAAUUUGAACCGUUCAUGUUUAUAACAGAAAAACGUAGUUUUGAGUGUCUUAAUGAUAACCAAAUUGGCUGAAAUUUUGUAUAAAUGAUCUAUACAGUAGUAUCUAAAGACUAAACGGUGGAGAUGUAAAAAUUUGAUUGAAAAGUGAGUCUAAAGUGGAAAUCCGCACCGUAAAAAUAAAUGCGAACGUGUGUGUAGUAGAGAAAGUCUAUAUAUAUAUAUAUUAUAUAUCUUCAACAAAAUCUACAUACAUUGAGCAAUUAUUGAUUCAAACUUGUCCAUGAGCAGCAAACAACAUUCAUUUCUCUCAACAUUUAUCGAAUGUUAUUGUUUUCUUGAUCGAGACAAGUGCACAAUUGUACAUCAUUACAUGUGUAAAUUAAUCUCCUACUACGCAUUAUCAUUUAGUAUUAAUCUUGCAUAUUCUAUUUUUUAACACCAAAAAAUGUUCUACUCAAUAGGUGACAUGCUAUUAACUAGCAGUUGAUGAAUUAUCUAAAAACGUGGAAAUGAGAAGAAUAGGUAAUGGAAAUUGGAGGGUUUGGCAGCAGUGGUCAGUGGUCAUGGCUUUGCUCAUAUAGCUCACACAACUAUACGAGUACAACCAUAGGCAACGUCAGAAUUUAGCCAAUCUUGCAGGCCGUCAUGCAAAGGCCGAAGCACGUUGCAUAUUUUACAGGACUACUGACUAUGUCCAAAGCGCAAGAAGCUGCUGCUAAUGAAAGCACAAGCAUGCCAAGCAAUGCCACACAUCUCAACACAGUAUUCGCACUAGCCUCCAUUGCUUAACUGAUUUGGUUAUUCUAGCUUAGCUAGUUUACUUUGUUGAUGGAUGAAUCGCAAGUUAACCUCAAGGCGCCAGGGUGGUUGUUUGGCCGUCUAUGAAAAUGCUACUGUGGCACGAUCUUCUUGACCGACUCAGAUCUGGGUAGUUGGAUGCGCGAUCUUCUUCUCUCAAAAGAUCAACGGGCCGGGACUCGUCGGGUUCUCUAAAGGUUUGGGUUGUUGUGUAGCACAAUAUUAUGCACAUUGUGGCGUUACGGCUGUGGAUGAUUCUGAUUACGGUGCGAUGGAAGCAACUGAAGGCGGCGGCGCAAACCCUGACGCAAUCACACCGGCGUUGGGACGACAGACGUUGUCAAGCAAGGCUGAGCCUAUUGAGCUUGCUUGCUCCUUCUGGGCUUGGGAUAAGGUUCUUGAACUUUAUCUUGGGCCUGGGAAUGAGUGGGCUGGCAUUUUAGGAUUAGGUUAAAGUUUUCUAUUACAGUGUUUGUCAUGCACCGGUGGUAGGCUUGUUUUAAAUAAGUAAGUGUUUGAACUGUUGAAUGGUUAGACCUAUUCUAUGUAUCACUGUGAUCCUAUAUCGUAAACUUUUUAUCCACCCGUAGUUAGUAGUAGGAGGGUAUGUAAUAGUCUUUUCUCGCUUGAGUAUCAAUAUAACAUUGAUAUUUUUCAAAAAAAUAUGGUUGCAUGCAGGAUAUAUAGGAUAUAUAUUACAUAUGUAAAUAUCCUCCAACUUUUAUUCAUUAUUUUGUAUAUUUUUAAAAUGUAACACCACAAUGUUCCAUUGAAGCUGUCAUGCUAUCAACAAUUGAUGAAUUAAUUCUCUAAAAAAGCUUGUUAUUCUUGGAGCAGCUGUAGGAGCAAGAAUCAACAUAGCCUUGUGCAUAGCUUGUGAGAUCUACAUGACAAACAAUCAUAUCGUAAAUAACUUAGAAGCACAAUAAAAUUAUAAAUGAGAGAGAGAAUCUAAUCAAGUAGAAUUAUACCAGAAACGGAAACAUUGGCAACGGGGGUCAUAACUUUGCUCACAGAGGUCACACAAUCACGAGCACAACCAUAGGCAACGUGGCCGGAAUUAGUAGUUGGAAUAAUCCUGCAGGCAAUCAUGCAAAGGCCGACACACCCUACAUAUUCUGGAGGAACUUCUAUGGAAAGAAGGCAAGAGAUGCCACACUUUGCCGCACACGAUGAGGUUUUUGAGUUUGGAAAGACAAGAGAGUCUUGAGGAGCUGGCACUGCUGCUAAUGAAAGCACAAGCAUGCCUAGCAAUCCCACACAUCUCAACAUAGUUUUAGUAUUGGCCUCCAUUGCAAAGUUGCUCUUCUCUUUCAUUUGGUUUUUGUUUGUUGCUGGAUGAAGUGGAAGCUCAAAGCUUAAUUUAUAGGGUGGUUCUUUUGCAUUCUAUGGAAAUGUCAUCAAUUCUUAAUCAACAAUAUAUUGGAAAUAAUGUUAUAUUUAUAUUCAUCUAUCCAUAUUUAGUUUUACAUCCAUGUACAUAACGGAAAGUAAUCAUUAUAUCCAUUUAACAUCUCCAGCAGUGUUGCUAAAAAUGAAAUUUGUUAAUUUUUAAGGUAAAUUGAUGCUCCAACAGAAUGCAUAAACUAAAGUAAUAGUUAAAUUUGAUAAUUGCUAAAUGAAAUUGAUAAAUUUGUCAAUAAUCCAUUUAUAACUAAAGCAAUAGCUAAAUCUUCUCUCUCCUCUCUUGCCCACGUAUCACUUUACAAUUUGUUAUAACAUAAUAAAUAGCAGUGACUGAUGGAGCAACAUUGUUAAAUCAAUACCUAAAUUUCAAAAUUCUUACUAAAUAUAUCAAUUUCUGAAUCUCAUUGCUGGAGAUGCUCUAGUGUUAUUGAAUAUUGAUAAAUAAUUGAGACACAAAAAUAAAUCAUAAUGAAAUUUAUUGAAACAACUCGUCAACAAUCAAGGCAGUUACAUUGACUACCUUAAGGCCUUGUUUGUUUCGCAGAAAGUAGGCAUCAGGAAAGUAAAGUAGUUUGUUUCCUGCGUUUGGGAGAGCAGAAGGAAAUGAACGACAUUCCUGCAUGAAGAAAAAAUAUGGGGAAAAAUGGUUCCUUCCAAAAUCCAAAGGAACCACUUUCAUUCCUUCUUUCCCUGCAUUUAUUACUCACACCAUAAUAUUUUUUAAUAACUUUCCCGAUGGCUUUCUUUACAUACCAAAUAUUGGAAUGAAAACUUUUCUGAAAAUUUCAUUUUCGUUCACUUUCCGUUCACAUGGGAGAGAGCAAAGAACUAUUUUUCUUUUGAUGAACCAAACUUUCCGUGAACCAAACGAGGCCUAAGAUUUUGAUUGUAAGGAUGAGCUUCGUCUAUACCCAUAACACUGUCUUGCUUAUUACUUUGGUUACUAGAGUGUAUUCUCAUGGUAGUUACAUUCAGGAUUAAAUUUAGUGUGCUACCCUGAAUUUUAGGUCACUCAUUAGUUGUGUCCUUGAUCUUUUUUUUAAUCACAUUUACCCCUAUGCUAUUAAAGAGUAAUUUUAUUUACACAUCCCAAAAUACUACAUACACAUCCUUAAAUUCUAACAUUUAAAAUCAUGCUUCAUGUACAAAUGAAAAGACAAGAGAGCACAUCAUCAAUGUUAGUUCAUGUGCAAGUUUUUAGUUCUAUUAUGCAUAACUGCAUUCUUCUUUCUAAAAAAAAAAAAAACAUGUUUUCUUCUCUUUACCCACAACCCAGAACAUGUUCAUAUGCAAGUUAAACGAUCUAAAAGAAAAUAAAUAAGCAAUUCAUAAUUAUAUAUAUGAACACAAAUGAAAAUUCAAAUGUAAUGGCUAAAAUAUAUCAAAACCAAUCACUCGAAGUCCUUCCCAAUUUGGUUUUCUUUGCCCAGCAAAACAUUAAGAAUUUGGGUUACAAGCAAUUUUGAUUGAAUGGUCAAACACAUGCAAAUUGUCUAUUAGACUUUAUAAAUUGUAUCAAGGAGUACGAUAGUGUGCUAAUCUGCAAUUUCAGAUAUUCAAUUUUGUAUUCCAGUUUGAUAUAGAAGAUAGUUGAACGGGGGUAGUUUGGGAUGUUUAGAGGUGUGUUCUAGUAAAAUGAUGGUAUAGAAAAGUUAUUAGACGAUGUAUUAAGUAUGAAAUUUGUAAUAAAUAUUUAGCAAUGUGUAAAUAAAAUUUCUCGCUAUUAAAAUCCAUCAAAUUCGGAAAAAAUUUCAAAUUCCCUCUAGGCAUGAUGUAAGUAUCUGACGUGGAGGAGACAAAGAAGGGCAGAAAGGUCAUUUAAUGCUAUUUCUUUUUUUCAUUUUUUUUUUCUACUCUUUUUUCUUUUGUAGUUUGUCCUUUUUCUAACUCUUCUCUCUCUCUCUCUCUCUCUCUCUCUCUCACACACACACGAGAAAUUUUUAAAUGCUACGGGAGGACCACGUGGCAGUUUAACGUGGUUCUACGUUCCAAUCAAAUUUAGACAUGUGGAUUUUUUACAACUAAAAUAUAAACAAAUAUUUUCUAUUUUUUGUGAAAUGACAUUCAUGGGUAUUUAGCAAGUUCAAACUAGGGUCUAGGGUAUAGGGUUUAAAGUUUAGGGUUAGGGUUUAGGGUAUAGGGUUUGGGCUUUAGGGCUUAGGGUUUAGUAUUAAAAAAACAACAAAAAACCUAAAAUGGUCUUUGACAAAAUGACUGAAAUAAUUUUUCGUGAAGAAAAUCUACAUGUCUAAAUUUGAUUGAAAAGUAGGACCACGUCAGACUGCCACGUGGUCCUCCCGUAGCACUGAAAAAUUUCUCCACACACACAUCUUCGCCAAUUUUCUUUUCAUUUCACCCAUUUGUAGAAUCAAACCCUAGAAAAACUUCAAUACUUUAACACAUUCGAGCCGUGGCCUGGUUGGUUAAGGUGUUAACUAACAACUUCGAGGUCAUGAGUUCAAAUCUCAUUGACAUAUAUAAGGAGUGUAAGUUAUUUAAUAUAUAUAUAUUUUUAAAAGCUUCAAUAUUUUAACACCUUCUUCCACCAUAUCUAAUCAAACCCACCACCAAACACUCAGCAAACCCCACAAUCCCUACACUUCAGCUCUUCUUCCCUUGAAAUUUAAUCCCAAAUUCGUCGUGAAAUUCAACAGAAAAAUCCCUAAAAUGUAAUCAUCAAAAAUCUAAAACUCAACAUUAAGGAACUGAACAACUCCAUCUUCUUCUCCGAUUACCACGAGGACACCCAGCUCUGCAUCCUCUCCUUCUUGACCCCACCCGAGAUUACAAAUUCGCCUGCACCUCGAAACAGUCUGUAGGAAUGACGACGAGCUCUACUUCUCCACGUGCGACCGUUGAUAAGAAGAAGAAGAAGAGUGUGAUCAUCGACGACAAGCUCUAGCUCUAGUUCUCCAAUUUUAUGGAUUCAAAUUGGGUUUGAGAUAGAAGAGGAGAGUGUGAGAGGAAGAAGAAGAGGAGAGCGAGAGAAAGGAAAUAACUUGAGUGACCAACUAUGGUCACUCAUGGGUGACAAACACCAAUGAGAAUUAGACACGUGUUAACAAUAAGUAUAAACAAACAUGCCAAAUACCAAAAACCCCCAUGUUAUGUCAUUAAAUUGCAGCUAUACCUUUUAAAAUGGACACGUGUCCCAUGUUCAUUAGUUGUGGUCACCUUAAGAUGACCAGCCCUUGUUAUCGAAGUCGGGCUUCGAGAGAAGAGAGGAGAAGGAGGAAAAAAGAAAAGAAAGUCAAAACUGAAAAAGAAAAAAAAAUGGCAUUAUUGACAUUUAUGUCCUUUUUAGUGGGUUAAAAAUUGAACGAGGGGUCCUCUUCUCCUACAUGUCGAAUGCUUAUGUCAUGCUUAGAGAGAAUUGGAAAAUUUUCCGAUUGUGAUGGAUUUUAAGAGUAUAGGGGUAUAUGUUAUUAAAAAAUAAAAUAAAAUGACACAACUGAUAAAUGACCUAAAGUUCAGGGUAAUACACUGAAUUUAAUCCUUACAUAUAAGUUGUUAUAUGACAUCCUAACAUAGCUUGAUAUUGACGUGACCCAAUUAAUGAAAUGUUAUGUUUGUAUACUUGCACAGAUUGAAACAUUUAUAUACUAUCAACAAAAUGUACACACAUUCAUCAAAUUAUUGAUCUUGUCCAUUAAUAGUUAACUAACAAGAUUCGGUUCUCUCAACAUUACUUUGGUAGCACAACUUCCGAUGACCACGAGGCAAAACACAUAUCCCAGAAGUCCAGAACAACCACAUUGUGCCACAGACCGAUCAUUAGCCUAAACUAAACUGUUUUGAUAGACCAAUUCACUUGCAUAACUUUGUGUCAUCAGCUUCACCAUCAGUUCCUUUUCUCCUCAAGCUGUAUGUGUUACUUUGAACCUCAUUUUUGAUUAUUACACAUAUUAUGAACCAAAAGAAACUAUGACGAAUAAAAACAAACUGGUAAAUUUUGAAUAUUAUUGUUUUCUUAAUCGAAAUAUGUACAUAUUUUCAUAUACAAGAUAUAUGUUACAAUUUACACAGGUAUUUAACGGUAUUUUGUAUAUUUGUAACACCAGGAGGUUCCACUAAAGCUGAAUUGCUGCUAAUCACAACCACAAUAGAAAUGAGAAUCGAAAAGGAGAGUUUACGUAGAAAUAUAGGUACCAGUAAUGGCGGGUUCGGCAAGAGUUGUUGUGAUGUCUUUGCUCAUAGUGGUCAUGACUUUGUUCGAUCAUAGGGCUCACACAACCACGAGCACAGUCAUAGCAAAGGUCCGAAGUUGAUUGCCACUACUAGAACCACGAGCGCAUGCACAGUCAUAGCAUGCUUGAUAUGAACGAUGAAAGCAUAAGCUUGCCUAGAAAACCCACACUUCUUAAAAAAGUAUUAGCCGCCUGAUAUCAGUGAUAUGAACAUAAAAGUAUACAGGGAGGUCUUAUGUUGUGAAUUGAUCAGGAAUUUUAAUAGUAUGAGCUCCGAUAACUUUGCCGCCAACAUCAGGGAAAUUUUCAUAUCCUGGCAGAGGUUCCACCUUACCAUCAGCCCUUACCAGCAACGGAUACCUGAGAAGGUGACCCUGCAGUUCUGUGAAAUCCGGUGAUGUGUAUCUCCUCCAGUUUUCUUCAGCAAUGCCAUUCACAGUCCUCACAGUUUCCAAACUCUCUGCCUCUUUAAAGCAUGUGUCCAACAUACCAAGAUGCUCAGCCCAGAGUGACAUUCGAUACCCAUAUAUCUGCAAGAAGAUAAUAUUCAAAGUUUAUGAAUCAAUAUAAAUGUCAAACAAAUGUCGAAAAAUUCCUCGAUAUGGGGAUUCCGUGCAAGUUUCUUAGAAUUGAGGAUUUGGGGAGCAAAGGAGCAAUACGGGGCUGCAAGUCUAGAGUUCUACAGCAAGACAAGAAGUAUAGAUAUGUUCUGGAACAGCUUGUGCUCAUGGAGGAUAAGUGUAUAUACAAGUCAUUUCUCCAUAAAUGUCUUCUUUAGCCACAGAAGAGGAGAAUCAAUAAAUUAGAAGUUUGCAAAUGGCAAAAGACACUAAGUUACAUACUUGACCACAAGGAUGUCUCUGCUUCUCAGCCCAAGUGUGAUGGGGUUGAUACGCCCCCAUAGCUAUCUCAGUGUCUUUCGUACCAGCCAUUGAUCUUUGGUUAAUAUUGGCUGAUCCCAGUAUGACGUACUCGUCAUCCACUAUCAUACCCUUGGCAUGAACAUAAAUCAUAAAGCGCUGAUUCUUGUAUGACUCGCAGAUCUGAAAAAGAAAGAAAACACUUUGUUUGAAGACCAAAAACAAAGCUUUUUGGGCAGAUAACGAGUUAAAUCACAUAGAUGAAGUGGGAUUUAAAGCUGAGGGAGAUAACCAACAGCUGUAGUUAAGCAAGUCAAAUAUCACAAAGGAAGCAUUUGAGUCAUUGGCAUUCGACCCAUUUAUCAUGAUCUCAAACCUGAAAUCAUAGUGGAUGUACUGUUUGGAAGCCAAAAAUUCAUAUGAAAAAUAAAAAGAUAAAUCAUAAAAUCAGAGCAGUACAAGAGAUGAUCAUUUUGGAACAAUACCAUAGCCUCCUUGUUGUUUGAUGUUUCCUGAGGAACUUUUUCCCGUUUACCAAGGCAAUAGAAAUUGAGGAAAUCUUGAGGAUGUGAAUCUUGAAGCUGCAAGGCUUUCAGUUCUCGUGCAACAAUAUCAUACAUCAUUUGCAUUGUCUGGCUCUGUAAAUUGCAAACAUACACAACUCAGACGAAAAUUUCUACGUUGGUCCAGAAAUUAUAUGAGCAAAUAAGAGAAGCAGAAGAAUAUAACAACAAUAUCAAGUGUCCUGAAACACAUGUUACCAAAUACCUGCCAGUAGAGAAUUUCUUGCAUUGCACCAGAAUUCGGAUGACCUUCAGGCCACAUAGGUACAACUAUAUACACCGCAAAUCUCUCAUUAGCUCUGAUUUUGCUGGCAAUCUUCAGUGCCAACUCAAUUGGAAUCAGAUUGUCAGCUCCUGAUUGGACCAUGAAAGGAAGGAAUUAAGCUAGUGUUGAAUCAAACGGAGGGAUGCCAGAAAGGAUUAGAAACCAAAAGAAUGUAUAAUUUGAGAAAAGGUAAGUGCUUAGAGUCCUGAGUCAUUGAGGUCGAAUAAUGUUUAAAAACCAAUGACAGUAAACAAAAAUGCACAUGAAUAUUCUUUUAAUGAUCAUAGUCAAUUUUGGAUGAACAAAUAAGCAAAUUUAACUUACUAACAAAAAAAAAAAAAAAAAACUUAGAAUGGGUUCCUAGCUAGAAAACUAGGUUGAUAAAACCAAAGGAGAGACAAAUGUUGAUCUUGUACUCAUGCACAAAAUGACAGAUUCCAAAGAUUUUAAGUGCAGCUUUGUACAUAAAUAUAUCAUAGCUCGCUUUAAAACUUUUGCUCCCAAAAGUAUAAACAUUAUGAGUUUAGAAAGUUAUACUUCAGUGCACAGUAGAUUGUCACAUUACCUGCAUCUUUAUAAUCUGGCCAUGCAUAUGAUGAACCAAGAAAAUACUGAUUUUCAAUAUAUAUGAAAUGUUGGGCGGAUCUGAUUGCCUUGAUGUACGCUGUCUGAAUGCUUUUAUCUAUUACUAGAUCCUUUGAGCAAAUCAGGUUCUGCAGUUACAGUUAAGGAGUAUGAUCAGCUAAUCAGCUUUGAGCUUUCCUCCAGAAAUCAUCUUUCAUAAAAAAUAAAAAAAUGGGGGAGGGUGAGAGACCUGUGACGCAGCAACAAUGACAUCUUUGGGAAAUCCAUUCAGCGAUCCUGAGUCAAUAGACCGGAAAAUCUGCAAAAGAAAGAUAUAUACCCAGAUUGGAUUCAUUAAUUGUUUCUAUAGUUCUAUCAUAUAAGUAAAAGAAAAACUACACUGAGAAAAGAAGAAAAAGAAAAUUCCAUGAUUCAACCUGGACAUUCCAAUCUUCAGGAUCAUCUUCUCUCUGAACCCAUAAAGCUGGGUCUUCUUUGGGAAUAAUUGUAAAUUCCUCUGAAUCUGACAUCUCAGGACUAAGUAUCCAUGAAAUACGGCCUAUCUUAAGUAAAGAAUCAUGCCAAUGAGACACCCUUUUACAUUGUCCAAAAUCUCUAAAUCGUGUGGUUUUCCUCCAUCGUUGCUCAAAAUUUAUAAGAACAUCAUAUGCAGCAGGCCCGUCAAUUCUACAGUGCAAGUCAUGCCAUGGUUGCCUUGGAGCCUUGGUCCCAGCCGUCAAAUUCUAGAUAUCAAUGACUACAAACUAUAAGUUAUGCUAGUCCAUAGUCCAUUACUCCAUAGUUACAUUUAGUGAGAAGAAGAAAAUGAUGAAAGGGGCUAGGGGGCUAGCUAGCUAGCAGUCUAUUUGAAACAAGGAUAAUAAUAGACUGCCAAAACACCAAUUACUUACAGGAAUGGAAAUUUGAUGAAAAUCAUCUUUAAACACAGUGUCAACAUCGUGAAACAAUCUGUGCUCAUGUGUGUCAUAACGGCCAUCACAGAUAUCAAGCCCUCCUAAAAAUGCGGUUAUCUUGCGGUUAUUACCAGAUGCUUGUGUGUCCACAAUAACACAUUUUUGAUGGUGUGUAAAGACGGUUCCAACAACCUGUAGAAAUGAAUCCAUAUAAGAGUUGAAAAGCAAAUAAUUCCACUAGAGGAAAUGCAUGUUUGUUCAAUGAAGCAGAAACUAUGUCUAGCGAACCUUUAAAGAAUUUCGAAACAACAUGCAAAUGUUAAGUAGGAAUGGAGAAGAACAAGUUGCAAUUUACGACAGGAUAACAAGAUUACAAAUGGACUGGAACCUGCCUUUUGUUUUAUAAUGCUAAGCUUACUACUGCCAUAGCGAGGGGCCAGAACACAAGUGACAGAUGAAUUCUUGAAAAACUUCCGGGUUUCUUCAUCAUGCGUUCCCAUCAUUCCUGCCUGCACCAUUCCCACUUCACAUUAUGACUCAAAUUCCAUACAGCCAUAUAAAAUCCAGAACAAUCAAUUACAGACAAUACACAUUUCAAUUCAUACAAAAUUCAUAUCCCAGUGAUUGGCGUAACGAUUCCAAUAUCAGCAUUCACAAUUAAACAACAGUAACUCAGAAAAUUCAAAACCACAAUGCAUGCUAAAAUAAUCACCGAGUAGACGUCGUUGGAUGUCUUAUCAUUCCAGACCAGCAUCAACACCCGUACACCUUCUUCUGAUUUAUACUUGAGAAACUCUCCUAGCGUUAAGUCGCCGCCGCGUGGCAACGGCCGGGUCGGCUCUCUAACCAGCCUCACUUUGUGAAACACAGACCAUCCAACCACAUAUAUCAUAUGGUGAGCCUCCGAAAUCGCAUAGCAAAGAUCCUCCCAGCAAUGCUCAGGCUUAUAAACUUUUCUUCCGUCCAAUUCAAUUUGCGGCAGCAGCCCCUCCGGCACGUGCGCAUCCUGGUAGAGCCGCACGUGACUGCCUUUUCUCAGAGGAAAGUAGGUGUUGGAGACUCCCUUCCGUGCUGGAUCGCCGGCUAUGCCGUGCUUGUAGACCGGGUUUUUCUCGAAAGGAGUGAACUUCAACUCGACCUUGAUCGCGCAAGGAGGCUUCGGAGGCUUUCCAGUAGGUCCGAUAAUGUCAAACCAGCCGGAAAUCACUUCUCCGGUGGCGAUUCUCUCCGCGGAGAUGGAGGCGGUUCCAAUCAUCUGAGCGCCGAAGACGUCGUUAUCUUUCACCUGAAAUUCAAGUUUGGCCGCAGGAUGCGCGAGCGGGAUGCAAAAGGUCUCGCGCCAUUGAGGAUUCUGAGAGUUCUUAAUGACGCGCGUACGCGCCACCGUUGCCUGAGGCACGCAGACUUUGACGUAAGAGUCGCUGGUCAUGAUAUUCCGGUGGUGAGAAAUCUUGCUGUCGUCGACCGACUGCGGAGGCUUCUUGGAGCGAGAGCGAGAGCAGUUGAUGGUGUCGCAGGCGGUGAAGCAGCGGCGGAGCCGCUCGGAGAAGAGGUCCAUAUUCGGUAACCGCCUCGCCUCGAGGAUUUUGAGGUCAAGGUCGCCAUGCAGAUAGACUAUCUGCUCCGACAUCGGUUCUGCCAUGGACCGCGUCGUCGUUUGAGGUCACUCUAGGACUGAGAAAGGAGGAGAGGUUUUGGCUUUGCUCGUAACAAAUUAAGAGAAACUGUAGGGGUUUAUAAAGGCGGGGAGAUUUGAAAGUGAUUGGAAAAUUUUAAUAUAUCGUAUAGCAUGUCACAUGAAAACGUAUGGUUAUUAUUAUUGAAGAAGCAAUUAAAUGACCAUGUAAUAACUAUUUAUCUUUUUAAAAACUCUUAUGUGUCAUACAAUUAGACAUAUUUGUAAUAAAUAUGUCAUACCAUACGGAAUGAUAGACAAACUCCGAUAAACAUAUUUUUACUUUAUUCCUUUAUGUGUGACUCCAUUGGUCCAUACGGACCAUACCAUAAGCUUGUUGUCAUGUCAUUAUUCUCCUCCAUGAAAGAGCCAACUCUUGAUCGAGCAGGGGUCAUGUGUUUAGUGCAAGCGCCCGAGUGGGGUAGUUUAGUGCAAUUGCUACGGGAAACUAAAGGGACAUUAUGGGCUUGAAAUUAUUAGAUUAGCGACUGUGACGCUUAACAAGACAGCCACACUUGAAUCGCAGCUAACUUAUCCCGUACCAUGAUUCCAAUAACGAAAUCAAAUGUAGCGCACUAAGAAAGUCGGAAUGCUUAGUUGUUGGGGUUACCCGUUACCCUACCCAUAUUCUUCUUUGGGUGGUUGCCAACUUGCCAUCUCCCCUCACGAUGUGACCUCCUCAUGAGUCAUGAUAAGAGAUAAUUAUGAGGGUUGAAAUUUACACAUUUUUUUUUACGAUCCACACACCGCUUUAUUUUUAUAUAAAAACAUCUAAAAUGUUCAUAUUUUAAACAACUUGAAGAGAUUAAAACAUGAAUAGUUUAGAUAUUUUCUUAUAAAAAAUAAGACAGAGGUGUGUAGAUUGUAAAAAAAGGUGUGUAAAUUUCACUCUCCAUAAUUAUCUCAUUUAAGAGUGAAGAUAGAAUGAUGACGGGGUGUUUAUAUGUCAAGGUGUUCGUAAGCCUAUGCUCAAUGAUGACGACAUAUGAAAAGCCUGUUCAGUGGUAAUGUAAUUUUUUUAUUUUUUUUUUAAGAGUGUCAACGACGGUAUUCUCAAAUGUUUUUUAAGCCUAGAGACUAAUCCACGCCGAGAGAUUAUGUCAGAAUGUUUCCUCCCCUCUAGCCGCAAAGAAUAAAUUGAUAUUUAACUCUAAUUAACGUUAACGGGAUUCGAACCAAAGCUCUUAUGUAAUUCUUUAUUUUAAGGAUAUUUACCAACUGAUAAAAUAAAGGGAAAUUGACCACCGUGAUCACCUCCAUAGUCGAUUGCAGCUUGAAGGAUAAUAGGUCAACACGAUAUAAUAGGUCUUUGAAAGAAUCCACCCCCAAAUAACGAAACAUUGGUCAUCAAACACAUAAUGAACGAAAAGGAGAUUAAAAGAAAUUGGGUCCGGUUCAAGGACAUCACUUUUGACACAAUUUUUUACACUUCUUCAUAGCCAUCAGAUUUUAAAAUAUUUAAUGGUCUAAAUUAGGUGUUAAUACCAUGUCAACACAUAAAAAUGUGAUGUGGCAUUACAUAUUAGCAUAACAAAUUAUUUUACUUUUCUUUAUUUAAAGAACAAAAUCAAAUCCAAUUGGAAAAUCAAAAUCAAUACACAAUAAUAAAGAGAGAGAAAAAAAAAAAAGGAAUACGAACAAGAAGAUGAACGAUGCAGAAGAACAAGCAUUAGAAGCAUCAUCGAUCUCUAACUUGAAUAUCUCAUCUAUCUACUUAAAACAAGGAUACAGAUAUGUAUGAACAAAUUUAUCUGUUUUCUUUGUCAACAUAGUAUUACAGAGAUAACUAGAUUUAGGGUUUACUAACUGAAUUGAAGUUUAUGGUAUUUGAUAAAUUUAUUAUGUAGCUAAUUAAAUUUGUUCCUCAGUACCUUCGUAGUGUAUGAUUGGUUACUCUAUCAUUAUUGUUCCAUACUGUAAACGAGUUUCUACUUAAGCGUGAUACUCACGUGAGGUUCAUUCAUUUCUUGUUCUUUUUCUGAUAAAUAGUGUGUUUCUUGUGUAUCGAUCAGACUGAAAUCCAAGUUCAUGAUUAUGAAACUGCAUAUUCAUAUAUAGGUUCCUGGUGCCAGUUUGAACUUAUACUUGCAAGUAAACAACCAAUAUUUAUACAGACAAACAACACAAGUAGAAUGGCUUAUAAUUUGAACACUGAAGGUAUUAUUAAACAUACCCAAUACAAUUUCAAUGAUCAAAAAUGUUUUUUUUUUCCUCUCUUGGUGAUGGGUCAGACGAUGGGGAAGGUGAUUAAUGCUUUGGAUGUUGCUGGGUUUCAAGAAACUUAUAUAUAUGUUUUGUACGUUUAUGACGUUCUUCCUUUUUCUUUUUUCUUUGUUUUUGUUGUGUUCGAUUUGAUUUUGAUUUUCCAAGUUAGAAUUAGAAUUCGUUUUGUUCUUUUAACAAAGAAAAAUAAAAUAAUUUGUAAUGCAAAUAUGUAAUGCCACAUCACCUGUCACAUCACAUUUUUAUGUGUUGAUAUGGUAUUAACACUUAAUCUGGAUCGUUAAAUAUUUUAAAAUCUGAUGGCUACGAAGAAGUGUAAAAAAUUGUGUCAAAAAUGAUGUCUCUUGAACCGGACCCAAAGAAAUUAUGACAAGUAAAAACAAAAUGAAAUUCUGAAUGUUAUUUGUUUUAUUGAUAAAAAGUACAUAUGGUCAUCACAUAUUCAGUAUCUUGUUUAUUUGUAAGAUGUAACAUAUUAUUCAGUAAUUUGUAUAUUUGUAAGAUGUAAGACCAUGAUAUUCCGUUGAAGCUGAUAUGCAAUCAGCAGUGGAUUAAUUCUCUAAAAAAGUUGAUUAUUCUUGGAGCAGCUCUGGUAGCAAGAAUCAACAUAGCCUUCCGCGUAGCAUGUAAUAUCUGCAUAUCAAGCAAUAUUACGCUAAGUACUUUCGAAUCACAGUAAAAAUAGAAAUGAGAAAGGGAGAGUUUAAGUAGAAGAAUAGGCACCAGAAAUGGAGAGUUUGGUAAUAGCAGUGGUCAUGACUUUGCUCAUUGAGCUCACACAACUACGAGUACAACCAUAACCGACGUCGUCAGAGUUUGGCCCAAUCUUGCAGGAAGCCAUGCAAAGGCCGAAGCACGCUGCAUAUUUUAAAGGACUUACUAUGUCCAAACCGCAAGAGAUGGCACACUUUUUGCCACAAAUUAGAGUACGAAUUGUGUCCGGAAUGACAACAGACUCUUGAGGAGAUGGGGCUGCUGCUAAUGAAAGCACGAGCAUGCUUAGCAAUGCCACACAUCUUAACACAGUAUUAGUACUAGCCUCCAUUGCCAAACUCUCUUCGAUCUCUUUGGUUUUGGUUAUGCUAUAGCUAGUUUGCUCUGUUGAUGGAUGAAGUGGAAGUUAACCUCAACCCUUAAUUUAUAGGGUGCUUCUUUUGCCAUCUUUGGAAAUGCCAUCAAUUCCAUUAUCUGGUAUGAGAAUGAAAAUCUCUGAGAAUCCAUGGUGUUUCAAUCUCAUGCCUAUAUAAACUUGUUACAGGAUUUCAUUGCCAUAUGUAUCAGAAAUUACGCGAUUUUCUUCUAACAUAAGCAGUUCCUUCAGAUGUUGUUAGUAGGUGAGUAUUGAACUAUUGAUUGCCUUAAUUCUCUGUUAGCAAACAGAUUACAGAAGAGCGAAAGAAGAUAUAUCAAUUUGCAUAUGUGUACGUACGUUUCACAGUUUCCUUAUCUUUGGCCAUUGACCUGUAAAUAUGGAAUUUGCCUUGCAAAAUCAGACGGAAAAACUUCACGCUUUCAAAACUCACCUCCUCUAUCUAUUUGAAAUGUUGAUUGCCUUAAUCGUCAAAACUUAAUGCAGUGCAGCGAUGUGGAGCGAUAUCAAGUCACAUGUUUAUUUUUUAUUGUAGAUGCGUAUGCGUAUUUUGUUAUCUAUUAUUGCUUUCUCAUUUUAGAUGCGAAUGUGCAUCUUAUUAUGUUUUAUUGCUGAAUUUGAUGUGCUAGCUUGCAUCAAACUCUGUAUUUUGUAGAUUGCAUCUAAUAUAGUUUGUGGUCUUCUUUCUUAAAAUAAAAAAUUUCACAAUUGCCUAUACAAUAUAAACCACUGCAAAUCUAAAAAUUCCAGGUGGUAGAGAACUCAGGUGAUCAGUCCCGUGAGUCGGCCGCCUCAUUGCCCGCCAUUUGUUUGGAAAUUUAUUUUAUUAAUAACCAAAAGAAAAUUAAAACAAACUAUGACAAAUAAAAACAAAUAGAGGAACUUUGAAUCUUAUUGCUUUCUUGAUCAAAAUAUGUACAUAUAGUCGUCAUAUACAGACUUUACAAUUUAUUUACAUUACAUACGUAAAUCUCCUACAAUUAUUUUUCGGUGUUUUGUAAAUUUAACUUGUGACACCGGGAUGUUACACUGAAGCUUACAUGCUAUUAGCAAUUUAUGAUUUCUCUAAAAAACUUUACUAUUCUUGGAGCAGCUCAGGAAGCAAGCAUCGGUAUAGCCUUCCGCGUAGCGUUGAAGAUCUGCAUGUCAAACAAGAAAAUCCUAAAUACUUUCUAAUCACAGUCAAAAAUGAAAUGAGAAAGAGAGAGUUUGAAUAGAAGUAUAGGUACCAUUAGCGGGGGGUUGGGCAGGAGCUGGUGUGCCUGGGGGCAUUGUGAGUUUGGUAUUAGUGGUCAUGACUUUGCUCAUAGAGCUCACACAAGUUCGAGUACAGGCAUGUGUAGGGUCGACAGAAGUCGACUGCACGCUAGUAGUUGGCUUCCCGUCGGUAUCGGCAGUUGCCUGGACGUCUGCAGGUGCCGGCGGGUCCUGAAUCUUGCAGGAUGUCAUGCAAAGGCCAACGCAAGCUGCAAAUUUUGCAGGCUUGAACAAGUCCAAUGCGCAAGAAAUGGCACACUUUUUGGCACACGUUAAAGUCCGUAUUUUCGAAGCUCCAUAAAUUGGGUCUUGUGGAGCUGGGUCUGCAGGAACUGCUGGGGCUGCUGCUAAUGAAAGCACAACCAUCCCUAGAAAAGCUACGCAUCUCAACAAAGUAUAGGCCUCCAUUGCUAAUCUCUCUCUUUUUUUGUUUUGGUUUUGCUAACUAAUUUUUUUUGUUGCUAAAUAGCAUGAACUUUAUUAGAAACCUCUUUCAAUUGCCUGAUUAAUUAUUUAACUGUUCCUGUUUAUAUACAGAAAAAUGGUUUCCCAAAAUAGAAACUAAAAAUAACAAGUGAAUUUAAACCAUAAAUGAUAUAUGGUUUGAAUUUGUUAAUCAAUACAUACCUUGAACUUAAUUUGAAUGUUUUCAAACAGUUAGUUUUGAACCUCAAAUUUUUGAUAGUUUAAAGAAAUUAAAAUAUGUAGUAUGAUAUGUAUUCAGUACAUGAUCCGUAACAACAGGAUCAUUGAACGUAAAAUCAGUAUUUCCUUGCAGGAUUUCCUUGCCAAAUAAAGUAAUUUUAAUAGUUGCAGGAUUUUCUGGGUGCUAAGAGAAACUUUCAGCCUCACAUAUCAAAAGGAACCCAAUGAAAAGUGCAGUGAAUUAUAAGGAGCUUCAUUGUUAGCUUCCUUAUCAUCUAAUAUUCAUAUCCAUGCCUCUAUUUCCUUGAUUUCCUUAGCAUAUAUAGCUUGACUCAACAUGAACAUAUAUCGAAUGUAAUUCAAAAUUAGCUAAUAAUUAAGAAAGGAGAGCCAAUCGUUGCAGAAAGUUUAUGCAUUUAUGUAAUUAUAUAUUUCACCAACUCAAGAGGCAUAUAUGCAGUAUAUACUAUAUAGCAGUGAUAUGCUUCUUUUAUUACGGGUUAACUUUACGUAGGAAUUGAAGGCACAAUGCUUGAAUGGUCUGAGUGCUCGAAAUAGUGAUUGAAUAUGGAGUCGUCACAAACAAAAAGAACAACAUAAUUUUGCCAGACUGAUCAUGUUUGUUAUAUUUGAGGGGGAACCAGGGUAGAGAGUUGGUGGGGCUCAAGCCCAACCAAAGUUCUGAAAUAAAAUCUGCAGUAUGUUAUCUACUAGCAAAACAGGUGACGAUGCAGUUUUGGUUUAGGAUAUUUACUAAUUCGAGACCAUCCGGGUUCGAGUCACGGCUGCGUCGGUAUUUUUUUGCUGUACAGUUUUACACCUUAUUUUUCUUACUUCUGUAAAAUUGUUUGUUCCUUAAUUCUCGAAGGCAUUCUGGCUUCAAACUAGACAAUGGGUCUUCUUUUUGUGCGGCUUUGAAUCAAUUAAGUCAUUAGGGCCUCAAUUCUUUAGAUAAUAGCAUUUUUUGGUUGAUGUGAGGAUAUGUUUUUAUAACUCUUGCGAGUCGUUAUUAAUGAUAUCUUCAAUUUCUUUCUAUUUGUGUCGAUACAAAAAGAAAAUUGUGUUUUCUCAACCCUUCUUGUUUUAUUAAUAUAAACGGUGCAAAUAAAUUUUCUUUCUAAUAAUCAAUUAAAAUGGUAGUUUUAGAUACCUAAUAUAUUUUUGCAUAAUACUCGUAUUGCUAGGGAGAAAAGAAUUUCAAUCCCACCCUUGUUCUCAAUCCUGGAUUCGCCACUGGGGAAACCGAUUAUCUAUACCUUCCUCACUACUUAAGCUAACAUGGACUCGAGCACAACCAUGUUUGGUUAUUAAUUGACUGCAUGUAAUCCUCAUUUCUUCUUGAUUUGUAUAGAAGCACAAUAGGCUAGCUAGCUAGCUAGCUGCAUUCUUUUGUAAUUGAAUUUGUUAUGUCGUUCUCUAUUUAGUAUUUACACAAUAAGCUCGUGUAAAGUGACCCUUUUCGUGUUCCUUUUGCCGCUUUAAGUUUAGGACUUCAGGUACAUGUAUCCAAUAUAAUUCACAGUAAAAAAGAAGGGAAUGGUUGUUGUUGUCCAUAUUGUCGUCUAAUUCAUACAUGAAAUUAUGUGUUUCUUUUAAGUGUACGUUCAACUUGAAGAGACUGUUUGAUCUGAUCCAAGACUAGCCAUGGCCUAUACAUAUUACACCACUAAAAAUCUCUGAUUACUUGUGACUGAAAUCAGAGCCAGACCUGAGGUUAGCCUCAUGAUCAUGAGUCGGCCUCCUGCCGCCAUCGAUCUAUGCAGGAAUUCCCUUUUUUGAGUGUUUAUAAAAUUAAGCAAUAUAUGUACCAAAAAAUAGCCACAAAAUAGUUUGUUAGGGCUGAGCUAUUUAAUUCAAGAACUUAUUCGUUGGCAAAAAUGCUGCUCAAUCGAUUACAGCCUAAUUCUUUAUUCGAAGCAAAUUGCCAAAGUGAAAAAAUUAAAAUAAAGGAUGACAGUGUUAUAUAUCCAAAUCGACCAUGAACCAAAAGAAAAGUGGGAAAUCGUAAGUUCGACUCACAAUAGACUAUUUGUUGUAUUCGAGUUCGUUAAAGAAGAUAUGUGACUAAAACAACUCAUGAGUUCUAACAAAUUGGGAAAAUUCGUAAUUGAUUUGUUGAUUGAACCAACUCAACCAAGCAUGUAUGGUUAUAUACAGGAUAUACAUUACAUAUGCAAAUCUCCUAUGUACAUUAUUUAUUCAGUAUUUUGUAUACUCGUAACACCAGGAUGUCCACUGAAGCUAAACUGUAGCAGUUGAUCGAUGAAUCCUCUAAAAAAGUUUAUUAUCCUUGGAGCAACCCAGGUAGCAAGAAUCAACAUAGCCUUCUGCGUAGCGUUUCAGGUCUGCAAUGUCAAACAAUAAAAUCAUAAAUACAUGGAAUCAUAGCCAAAAUGGAAAUGAGAAAGAGAGAGUUUUAUAGCUACCAGAAGCUGGGGGUUUGGCAGGAGUACUGGCUGUGUCUUGUCCCAUUGUGAGUUUGGCAUUGGUGGUCAUGACCUUGCUCAUAGCGUUGGCACAAUUUUGAGUACAGUCAAAAAGGCCGGAACUUGGCUGCCCGCCCGCUGGAGUUGGCUGAUCGCCUGCGGCAGUUGGCUUUACGUCAGCAGUUUGCUGCCCCGCGCCGCCAGGAGGUAGCUUACCAAUCUUGCAGGCAGCCAUGCAAAGGCCGAAGCAGCCUGUAUAUGCUACAGGACUGAAUAAGCUCAUAGAGCAAUCCAAGGCACACCUUUUGGCACAUUUUAGAGCUUGCACGUCCAAAUGCAGUUUGAAUUUAGACUCUUGAAAAGGGUCUUGAGGAGGAGGUACUGGGGAUGCUGCUAAUGAAAGCACAAACAUGCAUAGGAAAGCCACACAUCUCAACACAGUUUUUGGGUUAGCCUCCAUUGCUGUAAGCUCUUCUCUCCUUUUCUUGGUUUUGGUUAUGUUAAAUAGUUUCGUUUCUUGGUAACUAACACGAAAUUUUAGUAGAAAUCGCUUUCGAUUGAUUGAUUAAUCCAUUCAAGUAUUUCGGUUUAUAUACAAAGAUGGUUUCCUGAAAUAAAAGAAUAGAAAAAAUAACAAGUGAAUUUAAACCAUGAAUGAGAAAUGGUUUAAAUUCUUUGAUCGAUGUAGACCUUGAACUUUGAACCUACGGUUUCAAAUCGUUAGUUAUGAACCUCAGAGUUUCAAUGGUUUAAAGUAAUUAUAUAAAUAAAAAAUGAUCUGUACAAUAUACUAUCACCUGGAUCACUGGAUGAACGUACUGGAGAUUAGCCUCAUGCCUAAAAUUAUAUUACAUCUAUGGAAAUGCCAUCAUUUUCCAUUGUUUGGUAUGAGGAUGGAAGUCAGUAGGUGAAUAUUCAAUUGCUUUAUGUAUUUGCAAACAGAAGAGCAAAAGAUAGAACCUCAAAUUGCCUAUAUGUUUCAUAAUUGCCGUAUCUUGGCCAUUGACCUAUAAAUGUGAACCUUUCCUCGCAAAGUUGGAGCGCACAACUUUCACAGAAUCACAGAACUACACUUGGUUUUUUGCAGGGUGCAAAGAAAAACAUUUCAGCCUCAUUGGAACGAAUCCAAUGAGCAUCUUUAGUUGAUGAACAUUUACUUUGGAUGUCAAAUAUAGUUCAUACAUAUUUCACUAGUGUGGAGCAUUGACAACCAUUUCGGUUGUUUGUGGCAUCCUAUGAGCUUCCUUAUCAUCCAGUAUUCAUAACCAUACCUCUAUUUAUUUAUUUUCUUUCAUUUCCUUAGCAAAACAGAAACAGAAUAUGAACAGAUAUUGGAUGCAAUGCAAAUUUGUUUGUAAAACUUUAAGAGGAAGUUUUAAGAAAUCCAGUCAGAACAGAAAGUUUAUGGAUUUAUUUAUAUUUUACAACUGAAGAGGAAUAGGGGGAGACAUGCCUCUUCUUUUCCACAGCAUACUUACUUCUUUCUUAUUCUUCUCAUCCUCAUCCUCAUCGUUUUCUUCUUCUUCCUCGCCUACCCCAAUUUUCAAGUUGUCUAAACGAUGAGGUUCAUCAUCAACCUCUGUUAAAUCGAAGUCCGACAAGACACCACGGCGGCUCUCAAACCUCUUCAUAUGGCCCAACGAAGGCACUCUUUCCGCUGCACGACUAGUUCUAGAUAAUGAGCUUGUAGCAACCGAACCAUCAUCCUUUGUCUUACCUUGGUUCAUGAGCAACUUUGGGAUGACAUUUGAGACCCUGAAAGUCUUCUCUUUGGGAACACAAAGAGCUAGACUAGUGCUCUCUUCUGGUGGUGGAGGGCAGACCUGCUUAGGCUUUGGUUUGCUCUUCUUCUUCUUCUUCUUCUUGUUCUUGCCUUUGACUUGGCCCAUGCAAGAAACCUUUGGGGAGGUAGGUUCUUUCGAAGCAAAACUACUGGAUCCAUUCCUAGGCUUUCUCCUAGCCUCUCUCGGAAUGAUCGAUACAAUAGGAUGCCGGGGACUUGCAGGCGGGCUUUUGUAGGUGACUGCAGGAGCCGCAGCUUGUGAAAGAAACUUUAAGAUCUGCAUCCUUAACUUCGACUGCUUCUCCAUUCUUUAGCGUCAAGUUUCGGCUCAGCUCAAUUGUUCUUCCUCUUGUAAUCCAUUUGCCGGUCGCGUACAUAUAAUAAGUACUGAGAUUUUUCAGUAACUUCGGGCUUACCGGAAGAAUGAGAUUGUUGACAUUGUCACAUACAUACGAUGAGGGUUGAGUUUUGGCACUUUGGAAGUGGUCUAGUGAUAGCUCUAUAUGCCAAAGCCGGCUUUUGAAUAAAAGAAAUGUUUUCUGAAAAUAACCACGUGAGCCGGCAGGCAGCAAUGCAAAAAUUCAACAACGUUUACAAUAAUUUGGAUUUCAUGCAAUUCUCACUAAAAUGUCAACGAUAGCUACAGAUUAACAAUAAACUCUUGUUGACGAUCAAGAGCCAACCUAAUCCAUUUCAUUACAAGUGGUGCACUUGCGUGCAAUGAUCUAGUAUUGUACUCUUACAUAGGAUAAGGCAAACAAUUGGGAGAGUUACAAAACUAGAGAUCCGUGAUAAGUUAUUUUCCCAUGUUUGGAGAAAUCCAUUUUCGUUACACCAAACAAAUAAUACAUUACUGAACACAGAAAAAACUUUGGCGACAAAGAGCUGCAACGCAUCAAAAUUUUAGGCUGCUCUAGAGUCCUGCCAACCCUCACUCCUUCCCCGCUAUAGGCCCAGACUGAAUAUGUGAACAAUAAAAGCUGUGUCAAUACCAGAAAUUUAUCCAUAUAGAGCAAUAUAACUUAAAUGCUGGUCAUUCUCCGGAUAAGAGGCCCCAUUUUUAUUUCUGUUUUUUCCUCACGGCAGCCUUAGAGUUGUUAUCGUCCUUUGUCUACUAACCACAAAGCAUGCACUUACUUUUCCCAGAUCAAAUGCACAAGAAAGUAUCUGGAUGCAUCAAUAGUGCAAAUACUAGAGCUUGAAGAAAAAGACCUUCUCAUUCUCCAGAUUCAGAAAGGUUUAUUGCCUUAGCGAGUGCUUCUGUCAUCCUUGACAUCCUUUUCGCUUGUUUGCGGGGUGUACUGGCUAGUGGAUGAUGGGGAGUACCCUGGCUGACUCGGUGAGUACCCAGCACUUGGACUGCAAGGAAGGUAGAAGUAAAAGAAGAAAUAGAAUGAGCACCCCACCACAAUUCAGAAAAUUGAUGAAUCAGUAUUCAGAACAACUCAUAUGUUUUUACCUGUAUUGUGGAGAACUUGGGCUGUAAUCAGGGCUCACUCCAGAGGUAUAUGGGCUGAACAAGACAGUUUCAACAUCUUUCAACACACCAUCCAAACAUAAAGGUAAACAAUACACUCCAUUAUACAAAAGAGCACACUAAGAUUACCUGCCAGGAGUGUAUGAGGGGCUAGAAGGAGAAUAUGAUGGUGAUGUGGGUGAAUACGAUGGUGAUGUGGGGCUGCGACAAAAGAUUGAAAAGUUAAGCACAUAAUAAUUAUAAUGAAUUGGAAAGCUUAGAUGCAGAAAGACCAGUCAUCAAUCGACUAAGAAAAAAUUCAACUCAUCAAUACUUCGCAUUCUUUGAGAUGCCACAAAUGAACCCGACGGAAGUGUGCAAGAAGCUCACCUGUAAUUUGGAGAGGUAGGACUAUAUGGGCUAGCUGGUGACAAUCUUGGACUGCUCGGAGAGUAGGCUACCGAUGGGCUAUAUUUUGCAGAAGGAGGAUUAUAACUCGGAGAGGUAGGGCUAUAACUAGGAGAAGUUGGACUAUAACUCGGGGAAGUAGGGCUGUAACCCGGUGAAGUUGGGCUGUAGGCAGGUGAAGUUGGGCUGUAGGAUGGGGAUGUGGGGCUGUAGGAGGGGGAUGUGGGGCUGUAUGAAGGAGAUGUUGGGCUGUAGGAGGGGGAAGUGGGGCUGUAUGAAGGAGAUGUUGGGCUGUAUGAUGGUGAAGUUGGACUGUAUGCAGGGGAAGUGGGGCUGUACGCAGGGGAAGUGGGACUGUAAGCGGGGGAAGUCGGGCUGUAGCUUGGAGAGGUCGGGCUGUAGCUUGGAGAAGUCGGGCUGUAGCUUGGAGAGGUCGGACUGUAGCUUGGAGAGGUAGGUGAGUAAGAGGGGCUCGUAGGAGAAUAUGCUGGACUGGUUGGACUAUAACCUGGAGAGCUUGGACUAUAGGUUGGAGAAGUGGGACUAUAACCAGGGGAGGUGGGGCUGUAACCCGGCGAGGUGGGACUAUAACCAGGGGACGUGGGACUGUAUCCAGGGGAGGACGGACUGUAUCCAGGGGAGGAUGGGCUGUAACCCGGAGAUGAAGCAGGAGAGAAUGCCAUUCCACCGACAUAGGGAGAAAACUGAGCAUCUGAGAUGGGAGACAUUCGCAUAUUCGGGCUCAGCAAAUAAUUAGGUGACAUCAUUCCAUCACGGAAGGGAGUUCCCG